UGCAAAACAUCCUUCAGAAUUAUAUUCUCAUUUAUCACAAUAUCUCCUUUUCUAAUAACUGUAAUGAAAGUCCCAUUUGCAAGUGUAAUUUUUUUGUUGCUUGGGCAAUGUCCAUAAGAUAUAAACCGAUUAAAUGAUUGAGUCUUGUGGUCUGUGGCUCCACAGUAAACUACCAAGACACCUUAUUGAAAUGAAUUUAAGGCAUUGAGUGCACAAAAGUAAGGAAUAUUACCUAAGAAUAGUAAGGAGCAAUUACCUGAGUAUACAAAUUUUGUUAAUGUGUCCAGAAAACCCCUUAAUCUUAGAAUUUCUUGUGUUGGAUUUACACUAUCUGGUGUUUUUUAAUCCUACAACUUGCCAGUUUCAGGAUUAGAGAACGGGGAAGAUGAUUGGACUUGAUAAGGGGCUCUACCUUCUAGAGGACGCUAACAAGAUGCCUAGUACUAAUAUGAAAUUCCUUUUUCUUUGAUGUCAGAAACAACUCUCUCCAAUAAAGAAAAGUCUAGUUAUAUCACCUUUGUUUAAGUCAUUCAUCCUUCAAUACCAUAGAAAUUAUGUUUCCUAAUUUAUUUCAGAAAGUGAUACCUGUGAAUUUCCGAAGCACAACCAUGUUAACUUUCCCUCUAGUAAUAAAAGAAUGAUUGUUCCCUUUGAAUUAAUACAUAGUGAUGUAUGGAGACCCUCUAGUAUUCCUAACCUAUUCGGGGAUUGUUGGUUUGCAUUAUUCACUCAUGAUUAAGUGUCAUGGGUAUUUGUCUUGAAACAAAAAAGUGAAGUGAGGCAAGUUUUCAAAACUUCAUCCAAAUGAUUAAAAAUCAGUUGGAGACAACCAUUAAUCCAUUAAGAUAAUGCCAAAUAUUUUUUCAACCAAAGAUUGUCCUCCUUCAAUGAAGAGAUAAUUCAUUUAUUUUCUUGUAUGAACACCCCACAACAAAAUGGGGUGGCAUAACAAAAAAUUGGACAUCUCAUAAAUGUAACUCAAGCAUCCUUUCUCCAUAAAAAUGUACCAAAAUAGUAUUGGGAAGCAGUUGUCCUUCCUACUACGUAUUUGGUCAAUUGUUUACCAAACACUAAGGAAUAAAAGUCUCAUUCAACUACUCUCCAAAUUUUUCCCGGACUUUAGGAGAUUAAAUCAUGUUCUACCUCGAGUCAUUGGCUAUGUAUCCUUUGUUCAUGUUCAUUUUAAUCAUAGCAGGAAACCUGAUCCUCUACCUAUUAAGUGCAAUUUAUUGUUUGAUCGCUUAGCCAAAAGGGAUACAAAUGUUACCACACUCCAACAAAAUGAUUCCUUUUGUCCUAUGAUGUCACCUUUGAUAAAAAUACACAACAUUUUCAACCUUAUCUUUAGGGGGAAAGCUCAUGCGUUGAAGAUAAGGAUAAUUCAUUCUUAACAAAAAACUUCAGCACCAUCUAUUGAGUCUAAUAUAUUUCACCGAUCCUGUUGCUUAUCGUAUUCAUUCUCCUUUCAUGUCAAGUCCGAAGAUAACUUAGAAACAAAAAUCAAAGUGUUAUCCAUCGAAUGCAAGAAUACUCAUGAAGGAGAAAGUCUAUUAUCCAAUCAUCACAAGUGCAUGAACAUGAACUUCUACCUAAAAUAUCUAACAUUAAAUAGGAAUAGAAUAUGCCAACCAUUGAUGUUCAGGAUCUACCAAUCACAGUAAGGAAAGGUGUCAGAGCAUGUACUCAAAAGCAUAGGAAUCAAUUGUCACAUUGUUUUUUAUGAUAAACUACCUGGUAAUCACAAAAGCUUUCUUUGUUAUCUAAAUAUUGUCCUUGUUCCAGAAACUACUAAUGAUGUAUUGAUUAGUAAGGACUAGAAAAAUGCUAUGAAGGUUGAAAUGGUUUCUCCAAAAGAGUUCAAUGGUGCUGCAUUUCAGUCAAUUGUUGGCAAUUUGGGAAUGGAUGACAUCCAUUCACCAACUUGAUUUAUGUUCUAAUUAAUAUUUCCUUGUAGUGUUUUAAUUACAUAAUUAGGAGGAUUAAUAAGCUGACAAUAUAUUUCAUAUUUAUUGUAGGGAUAGAUUAUAUCCAUCAUAAAUUAAUAUUUACAGUCCUUAAGUCUUUGUAUUUUGUUGAAGAGCAAUUGCUCCUCUAUGAAUAAUAUCUGAAAACAUAUUUGUCACAUAUUUCAUAAAUUAAAACAGGAAACUGAAAACCCUGAGACCGAGGACAAUGUCGGCAUUAUAACAGAAAAUAAAGGAACCAACAAUGCAAGGAAAACCAGAGCUGAGGAAGCAACAGAUUCAAAAAAAUUGGCUGAUUUCAAGAUGCAUGACCCAGAAAUGAAAGGUAAACAAGUUUUGGAAUUUUAGAAUUGCUUUUAACCCACCAUAACAAACAUCAAUCAUAUAUUCCUACAAGGAAAAUAGAAAAAGGCACGUGACUUUAUGUGCCAGAAAUGUUAUUAGUGUACAUAAAAAUUUAGUAACAAGACUCUUUAGAUAAUAUUAGCAGUUCUAUUGCUGUCACUACUAUAUGUGGAUGUGUAUAUAGUAAGUUUUUGGCAAAUACAGGAGCUUUGUGUGGCACAAUGACUAUAGAACUUUUUGUGGCACUCGAACUAUUUUAUUUCAAGACAGCUUAAACAUGUUUUUGAAUAGUAAAAUAGGUCUUCAUGUUAAAGAUUGCUUACCAUAUCUCAUUUUUAUAAACACAGAUGUGCAAGAUAAUACAGCUCCACAACCAGUAGCAAUUGCAACAGCUUCCAAAACCGAGACAGUUGAUGACAGUAAUAAAGAACAGAUACAGCUAGAAGACAUAAUAGAGAAAAAAUCUAACAAAGAGGAACAAACACUACAAGAUGUUGCUAAGGACACUGUUAAAAUAAACACUAAUAAUUAUACCAAUGAACAUGACAAGGUUCAAAAAUCUCAUGCUGAAGUAAAAGAAUGGAUUGGGGAUGAUGAAAAUUUUGAUCAAGAUGAAGAAACCAAAGAUAUUGAAGAAACAACAAAAAUGCAGUUAGCUGAGCAAAAAGUUCAGAAAAGAUCACUCACUCCUGCCUUUGUUCAAGGAGACACUGAUCAAAUCUCACAGAAAGAAUUACUGCAUAUUGUUGCGUCAGAAGUUCUUCAUUAUGACAAGCACAUUUCCAUACCAGAAACUGAACCUGACAGAAAGUCCACUAUUGUUCAGGUUAGGCCUAACUGGUGUAAAUGAGUAAAAAUUUAGAUAUAUAACAUCUCAUUUGGAAGAACAAAAAAUCAAUCAUUUUCCUAACUCAUUACAAAAAUUUUAUACUUAUAUUUCAUAUAUUCAACCAGGAAACUGAAAAACCUGACACCGAGGAAAAUAUCAGCAAAGAAACAAAGAAUUUAGGUACAAAUUAUGCAAGCGAAAUCAGAGCAAAGGAAGAAAUAGACGACAAAAAAUUGGUUGAUUUGAAGAUCCCAAAGUCAGAAAUCCAAGGUAACUAGCUUUUGAAAUUUUAAUAUCGAUUUUGACUCAAAAACUCUAACCAAUGAAAAACACCAAUGGUAAAAAUAAAAUAAAGGUUAUCACAACUUUACAUCAAAAGAAAUAUUAACUAAUGUACUUAGAACUUAUAUGGGAGCUUUAUGAGCCAAUGGGACUAUUUUUAUUUGCAAUAGAACUUAUACAUGUAUUUAAAUAAUAAGAUAGCAGCCUUCAUGUUAAUGAUAAUUUCAGCAUAUAACUUUCAUUAAAAAAAAUGUGCCAGAAGAAGUUCGGCAACCAAUGGCAAUUGCAGAAGCGGUUGUAACUGAAACAGCUGAUGACAGUAAAGAAGAACACAUACAGCUGGAAGAAGACAUUGCAAUGAAAAAAUCUAACAAAGAGGAACAAACACCACAAUAUGUAGCUGAGGACACUGCAGAAAUAAGCACCACUAGCUAUACUGAUCAACAUGAUAAGGGUCAAACAUCUGAUGCAGAAAGAGAGCAAGGGAUUGAGGAUGAUGAAAACUUUGGUCCACAGAAAGAUGCCAAAGCUAUUGCAGAAACAAACAAAAUGCACUUACUGGAGGAAGAAGUCCAGACAAUAUCACCCACUCAUGCCUUUGUUCAGAGUGACAUGGAACAAAUCUCAGAGGAAGAAUUACUGCAUGUUGAUGAAUCAAAAUUUAUUGAUUAUAUCAAGCAAAAUUGCAUACGAGAAACCAACCUUGAAACAAAGUCCAAUAUUGCUCAGGUUAGGCGUAAGUGGUGUGAAUAAGUAAAAAUUUACAUAUACAACAUCUCCUUUGCAAAAACCAAACAUCAAUCAUUUUCCUAACUUGUUAUAGAAAUUCCAACUAGGAAUCUGAAAAGCCAGAAACCAAGGACAAUAUCAGCAAAGUAACAGAUAAUUUAGGGACCGACGAUGCACGAGAAAUCGAAGAAGAGGGAGAAACAAAUUCCAAAAACUUGGCUGAUUUCAAGGUGCAUGACUUAGAAAUCAAAGGUAACUAGGUUUUGAAAUUUUAGAAUAUGUUGACCAGAAAACACUAACUAAAAGAAAAAAUUUAAGCGUAUAAGGAAAAUAAAACUAACUUUCCAAGAAAGAAAUAUAUUUAAAUGUACAUAGAAAUUUAAAAACAAGUGUGUCUAGAUGAAACUGGCAGUUUUACUCACUGCUACAUGUGGAUGAUAACAAGUACACAGUAAUUCUUUGUCAAAUACGGGAGCUUUAUGGUGUACUGGGACUAUUUUAUUUUCAAGAGAACUUAUUCAUGCAUUAAAUAAUAAGAUAGCAGCUUUCACGGUAAUGAUUGGUUUCAAUAUCUAACUUUUAUAAAAAGUUGUGCCAGAAGGUGAAGUUCGGCAAUCAAUAGCAACGGCAGUGGCGGUCCUAACCCAAACAGUUGAUGACAGUAAACUAGAACAGAUACAACUGGACAAAGACAAUACGCAGAAAAAAUCUAACAAAGAGAAACAAACACCGCAAUUUGUUGCUGAGGACACUGCAGAAAUAAACACCACUAGCUAUACUGAGGAACAUGACCAGGUUCAAAAAUCUAAUGUAGAAGUAAAACAAGGGAUUGAGGAAGAUGAAAAUUUUGGUCAACGGGAAGAAGCCAAACCUACUGGAGAAACAAACAAAAUGCAGUUGCCCAAGGAAAAUAUGCAGACAAUAUCACCUACUCCUGCCUAUGCUCAAUGCGACACUGAUCAAACCUUGAAGCAACAAUUACUGCAUAUUGAUGAAUUAGAAGUUAUUGAUUAUGCCAAACAGAGUUGCAUACCAGAAAUUGAACUUGACAGAAAGUCCACUAUUGCUCAGGUUAGACUAAGUGUAUAAAUGAGUAAAAGUUUACAUAUAUAACAUCUUCGAAAAAACCAAACAUUAACCGCUUUCCUAACUUUUAUAGAAAUUUUAUACUUCUAUUGAAUAAAUUCAACCAGGAAACCGAAAAGCUUGACACCAAGGACAAUAUCAGCGACGUAACAGAGAAUUCAGGUGCCACCAAUGGAAGUGAAAUCAGAGCAGAGGAAGAAACAGAUGUCAAAAAAUUGGCUGAUUUGAAAAUACCAGAGUCAGAAAUCAAAGGUAACCAGGUUUUGAAAUUUUAGAAUCCAUUUUGAUUAGAAAACAUUAACAGAAGACAAAUCGGAAUGUAAAUUCAUAGGGAGAAAAUAAAAACCAAGGUUAUGUGCAAGAAAUAUCUCUUAAAGUAUAUAAAAAUUUUAAAACAAGUGCAUUUUGAUGACACUAGCAGUUGUACCCGCUACUAAAUGUGAAUCAAAAUAUACCUAUAGCAAUUCUCUGGGAAAUUACGGGAGCCUUUUGUGGCAUUUGAGUAUGGAACCAUAUUGUGGCACUGUGGCUACGGAACCUUAUUGUGGCACUACGACUAUUUUUAUUUUAAAGACAACUUAUAGAUUCAUUUGUAUAGUAAGACAGCAGCCUUCAUGUUAAUCAUUGGUUUUAGUAUCUAAUUUUUAUAAAAGCUAAUGUGCUGACUUUGCAACCAAUAACAAUUGCAGUAGUGGUCAGAACCCAAUCAGUUGAUGACAGUAAUCAAGAACUGAUACAGCUGGAAGACAUUACAGAGAAAAAUUCUAACAAAGGUGAACAAACAACACAAAAUGUUGCUGGGGACACUGCAGAAAUAAACAUCAAUAGUUAUACUGAUGAACAUGACAAGGUUCAAACAUCUGAUGCAGAAGUAAGAGAAAGGAGUGAGGAUGAUGAAAAUUUUGGUCAACAGGAAGAACGCAAAGGUAUCAAAGAAACAUGCCAAAUGCAGUUACCCAGGAAAGAAGUCCGGACAAGAUCACCCACUCCUGCCUUUGUUCAAAGCAACAUUGACCAAAUCUCACAGCAAGAACCACUACAUGUUGAUGAGUCAGAAGUUAUUGAUUAUAUGAAGCAAAGCUCCCUUACAGAACCAGAAAUUCAACUUGACAAAAAGUCCACUAUGGUUCAGGUUAGUCCUAACUUGUGUUAACGAGUAAAAAAUUAUAAAAAUAACAUAUCCAUUGUCCAAACUAAAAUUCAUUUAGUUUCCUUACUUGUUUUAAAAAUUUUAUACAUAUUUCAUAAGUUCAACCAGGGAACUGAAAAACCUGAGACCAAGGACAAUGUUGGCAUAGCAACAGACAAGUUAGGCACCAGUGAUCCAAGCAAAACCAGAGCAGAGAAAAGAACAGAUGCCAAAAAAUCAGCUGAUUUUAUGAUGCCAAAGCCAGAAAUCAAAGGUAAUUAAAUUUAAAACUUUAUAAUCGAUUUUGACUUCAAAACAAUAACCAACAGACAACCUUAAUGUGUAUAGAGCACAUAGAGUGAAUCCUUAAUAAAAGACAUAGAGUAAAUCCUUAAUGUGUAUAGAGCACAUAGGGUUAAAUAUUUAUAAAUAGGAAAAUACAAAAGAGAUGGGCCUAAGCACAUAGGGUUAAUAGUACUGUUGAAAUAAAAGAGAAAGACAUAGAGUGAAUCCUUAAUGUGUAUAGAGCACAUAGGGUUACAUAUUUAUAAAUAGGAAAAUACAAAAAAGAUGGGCCUAAGCCCAUUAAAUGUAACAGCUUUUAUAACAGAAAUAUAAAAAACAGAAUGGGAGAAUAUUUAAUACUCUCCCUCAGGCUGGUGCAUAUAAAUCAUAGGUACCCAGCUUAUUACAAAUAUAAUCAACUCUAGGUCCCCGUAAUGAUUUAGUAAACACACAUGCUAGUUGAUCACUAGAAUUUAUGAACUCAAUCUUGAUUUCUCAAGAUACAAUCUUUUCUAAAAUAAAAUGACAAUCAAUCGCAAUAUGUUUGAUUCUUUCUUGAAAGGUGGGUUUUGAACUAAUGAACAAAACAUGUGGACCCAAAGACUUGAAGUGGUAACGAUGGAGAGGUUCAAGACGAAAUAAAAUAGAAUGAGGAAUUAUGUUAUCUAAAAUCCAAGGUGGCAUGCGAUUAAUGAAAUAACACUCAAAACAGCAUUGCCCCAAAAAUGUUGAGAACCUCACCAUGAAUUAAUGUUAUGCCAGUUGUUUCAACGAUAAGUUUAUUAUUUUGCUCAACUGCCCUAUCUUUUUGAGAUGUAUAAGCAUAUGAGGUUUGAUGAAGAAUGUCAUGAGAAGCCAUCAAAUUUCAAAAUGAAUAACAAAGAUACUCACAUGCAUUAUCACUACCCAAAGUGCAAAAAGAAACUCCAAAUUGAUUUUUAAUUUCAUUGUAUAAUGAUUGAAAUAUAGAAAACAACUCAGAUCAAUCUUUCAUUAAAAACAACCAAGUACAUCUUGAAUAAUCAUCAAUAAAAAUGACAAAAUACUAAAAUCCUAAAUUUGAGUUAACAUGACUUGGUUCUCCAGAUGUCAGAACGAAAUAACAUAAAAGGAAACAAAGCACGUUGUGAAACACUUCGUCGAAAAGAACUAUGACUGUGUUUUCCUAUUUGACAUGACUCACAAGACAAACUUGGAACAAGUUGUCGUAUCUUGGCAAGGCUAGGAUGACCCAACUAAGCAUAACGAUAGAGAUAAUCCAUGACCGAACCAACAUGCUUAGAUGUCUGCAGAUGAUAAAGACCGUGAGACUCGCAUUUGAUGCCAAUCAUCCAUCUCGAACUCCGAACCUAUAAACAAAAAUAAUCUUUGGUAAAGGGAUAAUAAAUUAAAUAGAAACCCAGAAACAUAAAGAACAUUAUCAAUGAUAAAUAAGAUAGAAGAUAAAUAAUACCAACAACAUGUGAGGUGGCCCUAGAGCCAUUGGCCAUGGUAAUAGAAGGUAAAUAACCCAAAGUAGUCAAAGAAGAGAAAUACGAUUUAUUACUAGUAAUGCAAUCUAUGGCACCUGAGACAACAACCCUAGGACUAAGAGAGUUGGAAUGAGUGAGGCUAGCAAAUGAUUUCCCUGUGUGUACAACAAAAGUCAUGGAACCAAGAGUUAUAAAUAUCCUCGUAUCAUUUGAGAAAUUCAUUGAAAAUAGCAUCGUAUUCUGAAGGAUUAGAUAAUGGCAAGGGAGCAAUUUGGGCAACCAUAGAAGAUUGAGAAGGAUGACCAUGUAAUGCAUAACAUGGUCAAUUAUGUGACCAAGCUUGUGAGAAUGGGUGGAAAAAGAAAACUAAAAACAAUGCUGGAAAUAACAAUGUGUUUAGAAAAAUAUAAAAUAAAAAUUUAGCACCGGCAAACAGUGGGUUUACCAAGGAGGCAAGGAUUAACCCAAGCAGUACAUACCAUUUUGAAAUAAAAGUGAAAGAGACAUAGGUUGAAUCCCAAAUGUUUAUGAAGCAUGUAGGGUUACAUAUCAAUAUAAAUAGGAAAAUACAAAGAAAUGAAUCUAAGCCCGUUAUAUCUUUACUAACAGAUAUAUAAUAAACUGAACGGGAAAUAUCUAACAAAUAUAUUCAUAGAGAAAAUAAAAACAAAAAAACAUAACAUUACAUGCAAGAAUAUUAUUUAAUGUACAAAAAAUUGGAAAAGUGUCUUUAGAUGAUAGAAGAUGUUUUAGUCAAUGUGGAUGACAACAUGAUAGGAUUUGGAGGGUUUAUGAAAGGAAGAAAAGAGUUAAAAAUAAAGCAUAAACGGUUGGGGGUCUGUUAGGACAGUUAGGAAGCAGGGGGUAGGAUAACUGUCCUGGAAGCAGGGGGUAGGAUAACUGUCCUGGUGGGAUGUUAUGUUCAGAUUAGGAUGAGUCCUUAAAUAGGGAAAGGGUUGUCUAGAGGAGGGAGGUUGAGUUGAAUGGUAUCUUAGUGACAAGACAUUAGUAUUCCUGUGUGAGGGGACAGUUCCAUUCGAAGUGUUCAAAUUGUAUUCUUUGUAUUCUUUUCUUACAAAAAUAAUAAUACAAGGCUGUUUCAGUGUUUGUGUGUGUUAGGUGCUGCCAAGUGGGUGUUUUCAGAUUUCUUGUUUCAAGAAAUCUAACACAUGUAUAUAGUAAUUCUUUGGCCAAACACGGGAUCUUUUUUGUGGCACUGUGAUUAUAGAAUCUUUUUGUUGGACCUAAGACUAUUUUAAUUUCCGUAAGAGUCUAUGCAUGCAUUUCAAUGGUUAGAUUCAAGUUAAAUAUUGCUUUCAAUAUCUCAUUUUUGCAGACUAUGAGGUGCCAGAGGAUGAAGUUCCUCAACCAAUAGAAGUGGCAGUAGCAGUUGAAACAGUUGAUGACAUUAAUCAAAAAGAGAUACAGAUCGAAGAAGACAUUACACAGAAAAAUUCUAACAAAGAUGAACAAUCAUCACAAUAUGUUGCUAAGGACACUACAGAAAUAAAGACCAAUAGCUAUGCUGAUGAACAUGACAAGGUUCAAACAUCUCAUGCUGAAGUAAACCAAGGGACUGAGGGUGAUGAAAAUUUUGGUCAAGUGGAAGAAGCUAAAGGUAUUGAAGAAACAAACAAAGCACAAUUACCUGAGGAAGAAGUCCAGAUAAGAUCACCCACUCCUGCCUUUGUUCAAGGCGACACUGAUCGAAUCUCUCAGCAAGAAUUACUGCUAGUUGAUGAGUCAGAAGUUAUUGAUUUUGUUGAGCAAAGCUGCAUACCAGAAAUUGAACUUGACAGAAAGUCCACUACCGUUCAGGUUAGGCCUCACUGGCGUGAGUAAAAAUUUACAAACGCAACAUCUCCUUUGAACAAACUAAAAAUCAUUCAUUUUCCUAACUUGUUAUACAAUUUUUAUAUUAUAAAUUCAACCAGGACACUGAAAAACCUGAGACCAAGAACAAUGUCAGCAUUGUAACAGAGAAUUUAGGCACCAAUGAUGCAAGUGAAAUCAUAGCAAAGGAAGAAACAGAUGCUGAAAAAUUGGCUGAUGUAAAGAUCGUAAAGUCAGAAAUCAAAGGUAACUUAGUUUUGAAAUUUUAUAAUUGAUUAACUCAAAAAUAAGAGCCAGAAGGCAAACUCCAAUAGUAUAUUUGUACAACGAAAAUAAAAAUCAACACAACUUUGCAUGCACAAAAUAUUAUUUAAUUUGCAUUAAUAUUUAAAAACAAGUGUCCUCAGAUGACACUACCAGUUUUGCUCACUACUAUAUGCGGAUGAUAACAUGUAUAUAGUAAUUCUUUGGCCAAAUAUGGGAGCUUUUCGAGGAACUGGGACUGUAUUAGUUGUCUAGAGAACAUAAACAUGACUUACACAUUCUUAGAAUGUGAAUUAAGCUAAACUCAAGCCUACAAAAUGAACUGGUAAAAUGAACUUUGCACUUAUUUAUAUAGUUAGUAUAAUGAGCAUAUGCCAAGGACUAGACAUCUUGACUUAGAAUUAGAUAUUUGUGAGUGGUCUAAUAGCAUGUGAUACAAUAGGUUAAACAACUCUUGCUAAGAUAGGUUGUGAUACUAUAUUAGGAAUUAGAUUUUAAGUUUAACUCAACCUUACAAUAGAAGUUAAUAAAGUCAGGUUUGCAUCCUUUUUAUGAUAUAAUUUGAUCAUGUAACUAGUAGAUGUAGGAUCUCCAAUGUUCAGUAACAUAUGCAAUCUUUGUGCAAAUGAUUACUCUCAAUAACUCAGUUUCAUAACUUUCAGGUGUGCCAAAAGAUGAAACUCUGAAACCAAUAGCCAAUGAAGUUUUGCUUAGAACUAAAGCAGUUGAGAAGAGCAGUCAACAAGACAAACAGCAAGAAGAAGAGGUCUCAGACAAAUCUAUCAAAGAGGUGCAAAGCCAAGAAUAUAUUACUGAGGGAAGUGUAGAAAUAAACAUCAAUAAUGAGGCUGAGGAAAAGGACAAAAAUUCAACAUCUAAUGCAGAAGAAAAAGAAGGGACAUCUCAUGCAGAAGAAAAAGAAGGGAUUGAGGAUAUAUUCAACCAAAAGGAAAUGGAAAAAGAAAUUGAAGAAGCAACAAAAAUACACUCAGUGGAGGAGGAAGAAAUCCAGAGAUCACCCCCUCCUGCCUUUGUGCAAAGUGAUACUAAUCAAAUUCUGCACCAAGAAACAUUGCAUAUUAAUGAAUCAGAAGUGAUUCAUAAUGCCAAGCUGAGCUCCAUCCCAGAAAUUGAACUUCAUGAAAAGGCCAUUGUUGUUCAGGUUAGGCAUUAGUGAAGUAAACAAAUAAAAAAAUAAAUAUAUAUUUGCUUGCUGUGACAAACAAAAAUCAUUUACUAUUGCAACCACUUAUGCAAAUUUUAUACUUAUACUUGUACAUAUUCACCAGAAAAGUGAAAAAGUAGAAACCAAGGACAAUUUUGACAGAGUAAGAGAGAAUUUAAACAAGGAUAAAAGGGAAAACAGAGCAGAGGAAGGAAUAGAUGUCAAACAAUUGACUGAUUUGGAGAUGCCAAAGUCAGAAACCAAAGGUAAUCGUGUUCAAAAAUUUUGUAGAUGCCAAAGUGUAUAUUUAACCAACGAAAAUAAAAAUAAACACAUGACUUUACCUGAAACAAAUUAUUUAAUCCGCAUAAGAAUAAAAAAAAUUAGCAUCAUGAGAUGACACAAACAGUUUUACUCAACUAUAUGAGGAUGAUAAAUAAGCAUAUGAAACUUUCGGGCCAACAUGGGAGUCUUUUUUGGCCCUGGGACAAAAUUACUGUAUUAAAACAGUAAUAUAUGCAGCCAAUGUUUAAAUGAAUCCUUUGAAUAUUUAUUGUUCUAUAGCAGGUGUGCUUGAAGAUGACUCUCUCCAACCAAUGCCUGACACAGUAUCUGUUGAAAAGGAGGCGGUUAGUGUAAGUCAAGAAAAGAGACAGCCACAAGAAGAAUUUAUUAAGAAAGUUAACAAAGAGGUGCAGACACCACAGUAUUUUACUGAGGAUAGGGAAAAAAUAGAGACCACAAAUGACACUGAGGAACAAGAAGAGGUUCCAACAUCUCAGCCUAAAGAGAAAUCAGGAAACAAGGAUGAUGACAAAUUUGAACAAGAAGAAGAAGAAAAAAAAAACGGGAUCGAAGAAUCAACAAAACCACAGUUACAAGACAAAGACAUCAGCACAACAUUGUCCAUCCAAACCUCAGUCCAAGGUGAUUUUGAUCAAAUUUGGCAUAAACAAAUACUGCAUGAUGAUGAAUCAAAAGGGAUUGGUAAUGCCAAGAGGAGUUCCAUGCAAGAAAUUGAACUCGAUGGAAAAUCUACUAUUGUUGAGGUUAGGCAGUAGUGAAGUAACAACUCAAACUUUACGUAUUUAUCAGCUUGCUUUGACAAAUCUAUUCUUAUAUCCUCUGCAUUAAACCAGGAACCUGAAACCAAAGCCAAUGUCAACAUAGUAAAACAAGAACAUCCAAACAACCAAUCCAAAACAUCAAGCAUUCAAGGAGACAUUAUGCAUAAUAUAACAGAAGAAGGACUCGUCACAUCAGAAAGCAACAGAGAAAUAAGUGAAGUGCACACUGAGGAACAGAAGACAGUAAAAUCAUGCUUAAGAGAGAACUUAGACAACAAAAAUGCAUGUGAAAUCAUAGUAGCAAAAGCAUCAGAGGCAAAACAAUCAACUUACAUGGAAAUACAAGAGUCAGAAACCCAAGGUAAUUAUUACUUUGAAAAUAUUUUGAAUUGAAAGAAGCUCAAAAACCUAAACAAAAGAAAAACACUGCAUAUAUUGAUGUCAGGAAAAGAAAAUAAACCCAAGACUUCAGAUGAAAUAAAAACUCUGCAACCAACAUAAAAAUUAAAGUGUCUUUGGAUGAGAAAAACUUUAUUCACUUACUAUAAGGGGAUGAAAACAUAUGCAUAAUUUUGUGGCCUACUAAAGCAACUUGUGGUGGCUAUGGGAGAAUUUUAAUUUUCAAGAAAAAAAAAAUAGAUGUACUAAAUUAGUGAGAUAUUCAAUUGUACGGAAAUGAUUGCAUUAAAUAUCUCAUUCUUUGUAACAAUAGGUGAGCCUGAAGAUAAAGACUUGAAAACAAGGCUCAAUCCAUCAUCAAAUGGCAAUGAAGGACUUGAUGAGAGUAGUCCAGAAAAAUUUACAGAGAACUUGAACAAAGAUGUGCAGACACCACAGUGCAAUACAAAGGUGAAUGCAGAAACAAACAUUACAUCUUAUCCUGACAAAUUAGAAGAAGCAGAGGAUAUUGAAGAAUCAAUAGAAAAACAGUUACCAGAGAAAGAAAUCCAACACACAUUUCCCACUCCAACAUCUGUCCAAGAAGAUAUUGAUCAAAUGUCACAGCAACAAACACUGCAUGAUGAUGAAAUAGAAGUGAUUAAUAAUGCCAAGAGCUGUAUGACAGAAAUUGAACUUCAUAGAAAGUCUAUAGUUGUUAAGGUUAGGCGGUAUUGAAGUAAAGAAGUAAAAAAUUACAUACAUAUUAGCUUGCUAUGAACAAAAGAUAUAAUUUAUUUUCUUAACAUGUUAUAGAAGUAUACUUAUUGUAAAUAUUGUAUAGGAAUCUAAACAACCGGAAACCAAGGCAAAUGCUGACUUAGUGAAAGAAGGACAGGCAGACCAUCAAUCAGAAGAAUCAAGUGUGCAAAGUUUCAUUACAAACUAUAUAAUAGUUGAAAGACAUACGACAUCAGAAAGCAAUAAAGAAUUAAGUGAUGAUGUUGACCUUGAUGGACAGAAGAAAGUAGAAUCACAAUUGGAGGAGUUUUUAGAGAUUAAGGAUGUCAGUGAAAUCAGAGCAAAAGGAAUACACUCCAAACAACCGACUGAUGUGGAGAUACAAAAAUCAGAAACUGAAGGUGAUUGUAUUCUGAAAUUUUCGCAUUGAAUAUGGCCUGAUAAUGAAAAACGCACUUGUUUUAGAUGACAAACACUUUUUUUCACUUCUAUAUGUGAGUUUAAGUAGUAAUUUUGCCAUGCUAUGAAGAAGAUUCUUAAAGUUGUUUUAAAGGAACAUACACAAUCUUAAUGGAAAUUGAAGCAUAAAGUGCUUAUUACCCUUCCAAGUAUCUUAGUUAUUGUGUUUUGUUGAGUUCAUGUAUACCAUUGAUAGGUUCAGUGGGAAAGUCUAUACUAGAAGAAAUAAAUAAAGGAGGUAGUUAUAAAGUCCUGUAGCCAUAACAGGUUGUAACAAACUAGUAUAUACAGUCUGUGUUUAGGUUGUUUUAGGAGUUUUUGGAGUUUUGGAGGAAGAGGGGUUUUGAAGAGCUAAGGUCCUCUCGAAAGACCUUUGUAACUAGGAGGCAUUGUUAUAAUCCUGUCACAUUCACAAAACUGUUUUGUUCUGAAUAACGUCUUUCAAGAACCUGUCUUGAAGGUUUUAUGUAAUGUGAACUUUAAGCCUAACUCAACCCUACAAAAUCAACUUGUAAUGUGAGGUUUGCACCCACUUCUAUAUUCUAAAUUGAUCUUAUAUAGUUGAUGUGGGACUUCCAACACACACACCCCUCACAUUGAGGUAUAUACAUCUCGUGCAUGGGACUAGACAUUAUUGGGUGGUCUGAUAGCGACUCGAUAUUGAGUAGUACAAUAUGUCCAACAAACAAAAAAUUUCGCUAUGAUAGGCUUUGAUACCAUGUUAAGAAAUAAACUUUAAACCUAACGCAACCGUAUAAAACCGACUUGUAAGGUGUGGUUUGCACACACUUAUAUAUUCUAAAUUGGUCUUAUCUUUAGUCAAUGUGGGACUUCCAACAUUGUUAGAAUAAGCCGGUUUUGUAAGAUUGGCCUAGGUUUAAAAUCCACUUCUAAACGUGGUAUCAAAACCAUUGUACAAGUCUAUCCUAGUGAGAUUUGUUGCUUAUUGUGCAUAUUGUUCCACCCGUAUCAAACAGCUAUCGCAUCAUCCUUUAAUGUCAAGUCUCACGCUCGAAAUGUAUAUACCUAUUGGAAGUCUCAUACCGACUAGAGAUAAAACUAAUUUAGAAUAUAUAUAUAUAUAUAUAUAUAUAUAUAUAUAAGUGGGUGCAAAUAUCACAUUACAAGUCGUUUCUGUGGGGUUAAGUAAAGCUUAAAGUUCACUUCCUAACAAAUAGGUUCAGUGAAAAAGUCUAUACUAGAAGAAAUAAAAUAAAGGAGUUAUUUAUAACCUCUUGUAACUGUUACAGGUUGUAACAUACUAGUCUAUAUGGUCUGUGUUUAGGUUGUUGUUAGGAGUUUUUGGAGUUAUGGAGGAAAACGGGUUUUGGUCGAGCUAAGGUUCUCUCGAAAGACCUUUGUACCUAGCAAACAUUGCUGUAAUCCAGUCACAUUGACAACUGUUCUGUUUUCUAAAUAAAGUCUUUCAAGAACCUGUCUUGAAGGUUUUCUUUAAUUCUGGUGAUCCUGUCAACCAUGAAAUGUAAUGUUAUAGUUGUUCUCUUCAAAAUAGUUGCUUAUUUAUUACCUUUAUGAUCAUUAUUGUUAAGAUAGAUGAAUAUGUUGAGUGGUAAAUGUUGUAAACAGGGGAUUAUUACGAUAAAAAUAUCCUAAUAUCUUUAGUAACUAAGAAAAUAUUCCCAAAAUCUAUACAUCCAUUCCAGAUUACUUUAUUUCCCUUUUUAAAAGAAUGUGAUUGCUAUAAAUAGAGGAGUUGAGUAUGCAAUUAUCAUUAUUGUAAUCAAUAUAAUAUUUAUUUUCUCCCUUUAGUUAUCCAAGUGUAAACUCACCCAAACAUAAUCAGAAAACAAUAAUUGUUUCUCUAUUCUCACAAAAUGGUUUAUUUCAAUAUCUCAUAUCUACAAUAAUAGGUGUGGCUGAAGAUAAAGGAAUGCAAACAAUGUCCAGCACAACAUCAGUCAAAAAUUAUGCAUUUAAUGAAUGUUGUCAAGAAGAGAUUCAACCACGAGAAGAAUAUGCUGAGAAGCAUAUCAAAGAAGUGAAGAUGCCACACUAUGAAUUUAAUACGCAAAAACAUAUUCCUGAGGUGUGAGCAAACUACAACAAACAAAAGCAGAAAAAUAAAACCUUUCAUUUUCACACUUGUACAACUAUUUGAUCAUUCACACACAAAGGACAUUAUUUCUCAUCAUGAAAUAGAACAUCUACAACCUCUGACACAGUAUUUGCUGAAACAGGCAUAUAGGGUAGAGGAAGAUACAAGUCAGAUCAGGGUGGUAAAUGAACAGAAAUUAGAGUCCCAGCUGGCAUCACUAAACAAGGAGGCCACAUUCAUAGAUAAUCGGUAUUCAGAUGGAGAGAUAGAAAACGCAAACCCCAUUGGUGAUAUAGAGAAAGAAGUGAAUCCAAAAUCACUCACCAAGCAGAAAUUAGUGAUCCACGAUGAUGGUAAAUUCGAUGAAGAGGAAGCAAAAGGAAUUGAAGAAAUGACAAAAAUAAAAUUACUAAAUUCAGCAACAGACUGUAUGUGCUCAAAACUCACAAAUUUCAUUACUUUUAGUCAGACUCAUUUUGCCUUGGGACCCUAAACCCUAAACAACAGAAAGUUGAAAUUUUAUGUUUAUGAGAUUCAAUGCUUAUCAAAAUCAAUAAAAAGUAAUAUUUUAGCAGUUGAAAAAUCUCAGAUAAACAAUGACAGGUUCACCAGAAGAAGUCCAGCCAAAAUUGUCUGACCCUGCAACUGUCCAAGGUGACACUGAUCAAAUCUUACAGCAACAAACACUUCCCAGUGAUGCAUUAGACACAAUUGAUAACAACUUGAGCAGCAUUCCAGAAAAUGAACUUGACAGAAUGUCCACUAGUGUUGAGGUUGGCAGCAUGUGCAUUUGCUGAGAAAAAAAAUACUCAUUUAUUUCCUUUUCUUAUUAUUAAAACUUAUAUUGUAUUUAUUUAAAUAGGAACCUGAAACCAAGGCAAACAUCAACAUAGUAGAAGAGCAAUCAGACAAGCAAUCACAUGAACCUAGCAUGCAAAGUCUGAUUACAGAUUAUAUAACAGCGGAAGGCCAUUUAGCAUCUGAAAACAGUUCAAAAUUAAGUUAUGAUAUGAAUGAACAGAAGACAGUAAACUUGCAGAUGGUAGAGAAUUUAGGGAUCAAGUAUGCAAGUAAAACGACCACAGAGGAAGUAACAGAUGCCAAACAACCAACUGGCGUGGAGUUAGAGAAAACAAAAAAUGAAGGUAAUAAUGUUCUGAAAAUUUACCAUACAAGUUGCCUUGAUAACCAAAAACAAGAACCUGAAAACAAAAACAAGCACAUGACUUCAGAUGAAGGAAAUAUUCUUUUAAUCCACUUACAAAAAUAGUUUCCUUAGAUGGCAAAAAAAUUAUUCACAUUUGUGUGUAGAUGGUAAAAUAUAAGUAGUAGUUUUGUGUCCCCAUGAAGAGUUUGCUGUAGCUCUAGGACUUUUUAAUUUUGAAGAGAACAUGAACAUUGUUGUACUGAAAUAGAAACAUAUGUAGCCUUGCGUAAAUCAUUUCUUUUAAUAUCUCAUUUGUGCUUGAAUAGUGUGUUUGAUUUUAAAGAGAAAACAUUAAACAAUGCAGAAUUGAUCGAAAAUAAAACACUUGAUGGGAGUAAUCAAGAAGAGAUGCAACCAGAAGAAGAUUUUUCAGAGACAUAUACCAAAGGCAAGAAGACACCACAAUCUAGCAUGGAGAAUGUAAAUUCAGAAGGAAUGGAAAUAACUGAAAACAGUACAAAGUCAAGUUAUGCUGAGGAAGAACCGGAACAGGUUAUAAACACAUACACCAUAGAAAAUUCAGAAAUCAAGGAUAGCAGAAGAAUCAAGCUAGAAGAAGCAUCUGAUAUAAAAGAAGCCACAGGUAUUGAAUUACAUAAGCUUAAAACAGAAAGUAGUUAUGUUUUGAUAACUUUCUAUUUUACUUUUACCCAAGGUGAUGUCAUUCAAAAAACAAAUACUAAAAUUAUGUUUCUUGAAAAAAAAAAUUCUAAAUGACAUUUUGAAUCAUUUAAAAGUUUUGAAGAAAACGUAUAAUGUACUAAAAAUGAACUAUAUAAGUCAAUCUCAGGUAGUAGAUUGUGUUUAACAUCUUACUUGUACAAUGACAGAUGAAUCUGGCGAUAAAGCCAUCUCAUUUUUAUCUACCAUACCAUCUGUAAGAAUUGGGAUAGUUGAUGAAAGCAUUCAAGAAAAAAUAGAAAAGGAUGUUCAACCCGCUGUGAUCAAUUCCAAAGAAGAGCAGAGAACAGAAAAUGAUUUUGUGAGGAACAUGGAAGUUCUCGAGGUUUGACUUCACUUCAAUAAAUUAAACUAGAUACUGAUAUAUACCACAUUGCAUGUCAGACUUGCACAUCUUAAUUUAGUGUUUGUCUAGAAAACCAAAUCUUCAUUUUCCCAACGUACAAAUAUCUGAGUUCUGAUGAAAUUUUAUGUUAAAUUAGGCAUUUGAAUUAAAAAAGGGGCCAGCCAACACCUCUGUGGAAAAUGACGAGAAAGUCGAAGUCCAAUCUGAAGCAAAUAACCAGAAGACCAUUAAAAAACAUCCAAAUUUAGAAGAACUGGAGACUGCAGAAAUAAGUCCAAGUAGUGAUACUAAAGAACUUGGAAAGGAACGUGAAGUUGCCAAACUUGGAGGUGUCUCUGAAUCUGUAUCCGUAGCUAUCACAGAACAUAUAGACACGGGGAAACUGGAAACUCAAGAGGCCAAAACUGGUAUAUCAGGCAACACAAAAGAAGAUAAAGCAGGAGAAGAAUUCGAAAACAUAAGCCCAUCAUCUAGUGUUGGUGUCCUAUCCAGAGACUCUGAAGACACUGGCACCAAAGUUUUGCACAAAAAAUCUCACGGCAUCCUGUCAGGUGUAGGAUCAAAGGUGAAGCACUCAAUUUCCAAAGUGAAGAAAGUCAUUACGGGCAAGUCUUCACGCCCCAAGACACCACCAUCAUAAAAAUCAAAAAAUAAGUGCUCAUUAGACAACUACAUGCUGCUGUUGAAAAUAGAAUAUGCACAUGUUUGGGAAUUUUAGAGGGCUUAUUUCUUAUGUUUGAGGAAUUGUAUUGAUUUGUUUCAUUGAUGUAUUGUUUGGUUUGUCAUUAGUUUUGAAAUUUGAUCUUAUGGAGGAUCUACUAUCCUUCUAAUCUGUGUAAUGUAUUCUUAUUCUCUUUGUAUGGAUUUAGUAUUUAUUUCAAAACACAGGCACAAAUAGCUGAAAAUUGAGAACAUAAGGAAAGGGUUAAGUAGUUCGUGUAAACAACAUUUUGAAGAGAAGAAAAAUGAGAAAGCAAGUACCAAAGGGACACCUGAUAAGAAUUAUUAGACACUACAAAUGCAUCGAAAGAACAGAGCAAAAUGACGAAAUUCCAGUUCUUAACUUUGUUUUCACGAGAACCAAACGGAAAAGAGAGAAAAUUUUGCCAUAGAAGUAAUAAAGAACAUACCUGGCUCAAACACCACCACCUGUACCUUUCAACGAAUCAAUGGUGGGUCAGGAAAUAAUAGAGAGCUGUGUUGGUGCGCGUGUUUUUCAGGGUUAAUACACUAUUUAAAUCGAAUCGUUUCAUAUAAUUGUUCUACGUUGUGUUGGGUAGAGAGAAAAUAAAUAAAUAAAUAAAAUAUUAGUCAAAAUAGAAAAAACAGAACAGAAGUUAAAAUGUGUUCGGUGGAAAACAAAAUUAAGUACAAUAUUAAAUUCCAUCAAACAAUAAAAUGGUUACUUUUAUGACCUCUGCUUUCAAUUUGUUCUCAACAAAAACAUAUAUAAAGAAAUUGUCUCCUCAACAUUCAUUAAGGAAUAUAGGUUAAAAUCUUGAGAUGGUUACACGAAGGUUUUCUCGUUGUAAGUGGUGUCAAUUAGAUUUUUGAUUUGGAAAUGUGAUAUAAUUUGAUCAUUUCCGUUAACACAGUAUUGAUGACAUUAAUUCAAUAUCACGUGUUAAUAUAGGGUGGUUUUUAUUUUUUUAUUUCUUUUAUAAUCUUUUAUUCUUUUAAAUUUUUUAUUUAUUUAAAAAAAAAUUGUAACAGUGUGAAAUGAGAAUCCGUCGUGUGAUAGAGAUAGUUUGACUUAGCAGUGACACGUGUUAAUUUGAGAAAGUUGUGAAAAGUCUCAAUUUAAUUUUUUUAUUUAUAUUUGGUCUCAUUUUAAUGAAAAUAUCAAUUUUAAUGAAAAGAUCAUCAUACAUCUAUAUAAAAGUUAAAUUUGGUUUUAAUUUGGAGAGGGAUAAAAUUGCUCCAAUUUAAAAAAUAACAUUAUUACUAAAAUGAGACCAAAUACAAAUAAAAGAACUAAAUUGAGAUUUUUCACUUGACACUUUUCCAACUGCCACUAUCAUGUUACAAUAUCUAUGUCACGUGGCACGAUCCUCAUUUGACAUGUAACAGUGUUUAUUUUAAAAAAACAUUUUAAAAAUCAUAAAAAAAAAAAAAACACAUAUUGACAUGUGGCAUUAAGUUAACAUCAUCACUUUUGUGUUAACAGAAAGGACAAAAUGACAUCACAUUUUCAAAAUUAAGGACUCAAUUGAGACCACUUCAAACAAGAGGACCAAAUUGAGAUUCUUGUAUAAAAUUGAGAACCAUUCAAGAAUUCUAGUAUAUAUAAACUAAAAAGUUUAUUUUACAUUAUCUAUGAAUGGUUUAUAUCCAUUUCUAAGUCAUUCCAACUAAUUUGACACUUCAUUAACAAUCUUUUGUAUACUAUAUGAAAUAUUGUGUUACAAUGAAAAUCAACUUACCAAUAGGGUAGACGAUCAGUCGAGAUAGCCAUUUUAGGUAAUUAAAGAAUAUAUUGACAGGUAUUAAUGAUUAAUUAAUGGGUUUGAUUGUUAUACGCUCUUUACAUAUACGGUAUUAAUGGUUAGUUAAUGGGCUUUAUUGCUAUAAGUCUCUAUAAAUAUACAAUUAAUAUCAAGGUAAAGACACACUUUUCCUAAAUCAAAUUUAGACCUCUCUCUUUAAGAAACAUGUCUCACUUGAGCGUGUCUCCUGUAGGUCAACAACUGAUCUGUAUGGAGUGCAUUCUUAUAAAAGAUUGGACGACCGACCCUCGACCCCUUUCAAUCGAAACAUUUUAAAUCAUAUGUAAAAAAAUGAAAAUAAACCAUCUUUAAGGAAACUAGAUAAGUCAUCCUAUUAAAUAAACUUUUGUAUGGAGUUAAAAUUAUUAUUGAUCAAUCUAUGAUUCAUUAUAACAAGUAUUAACAUAAUUUACAUUUAGAACAAAAAAAAGAAAAACAAACAAUUUUAAAGAACCACUAAAAAUUUCAAAUUAUAUAUAUAUAUAUAUAUAUAUAUAUAUAUAUAUAUAUAUAUAUAUAUAUAUAUAUAGGGUUUGCUAAUUUGUGUACGCCUGUUUUUUAAUUGGUACAUUUUAGCAAUGUGUAUCGAGUUUUAGUAGACAAAAAUACCUUAAUAUAUCAUGGAUCCUAAGUUUUAAGGCUAAGGGUAUUUUAAUAAUUUUCAUUUUCAAAACUUAAAAAAAAAAAAAGAAACCCCCAAAUCCUUGCUCAUCUCCCUCAUUUCUCUCAACCCUUACUCUUUCAUCUCUCUCACUCCAACAUUUUCUCUGUCAUCCAUACACUAGUCUCAACUGAAAAAACACUCGUUAAACAAUUUGUUUUUGUAAAGAGGUGAGUUAUUGACAUAUUCGCCUUAAGGAAAAUGUUCAUUCAAGAUCUCUUCAAUUUCAUUAUCUUCAUUAACCUCUAUAAUUUCAUCAUUUGCGGAUGUUGAAUCAUCAUCUCUAAAAAAAACUUUCAAGCCAAUUACCAAUUCCUUCAUAUGUCAUUAUCCUUGUGAAAAUUAGAUAAAAUUAGAUAAAAAUUAUAAAAUGAAAACUCAUUAUAAAAUCAUUUUUUGUAAGAAAUUGUUUAAUAGCGAGUGUUUUUUAUUUUUUAUCAAACAAAUUACCAAUUCCUUCAAAUAUCAUUAUGCUUGUGAAAAUUAGAUAAAAUUAGAUAAGACAAAAAUUAUGAAAUGAAAACUCAUUAUAAAAUCAUUUUUUUGUAAGAAAAUUUUCAACACCAAGUGUUUUUUAUUUGUUCGGUUGGGCUACAAUAGCGAUGAUAGUAAAAAUGUUAAAGUGAGAGAGAUGAAAGAGAAAAAGUUGAGAGGAAUCAGGGAGCUGAGCAAGGGUUUGGAGGUUUCUUUUUUUUAUUUUAGUUUUGAAAAUGAAAAUUAUUAAAAUACCCUUAACCUUAAAACUUAGAAUCCAUGAUAUAUUAGGGUAUUUUUGUCUAAUAAAACCCAGUACACAUUGCUAAAAUGUAUCAACUGAAAAACCAACUGAAAAACAGACAUACACAAGUUAGCAAACCCCUAUAUUAUAUAAUAAAAUGUUAAUUAAAUUUUUAUUUAAUAAAACAUGUUAAAGAAAAAACAAAUGUUCAAUUACCUUAUUCGAGUUUGAAAAAAUUAACAUAAUUAAAUUUUUUAUUUUAAGAUUGUAAUUUUUUUUAUUGUGUUAAAACGAAAUAUGUCAAUUGUUGUAUUAAAUUGACUACUUACUCGUUAAUCUAUCAAUAAAGUCAUUACCUUCUUUAUGGAUAUGUUAAUGUGUAUUAGACAAAAAGAACAUAACUUAUAACAUUUCAAGCAUAUACUCUUUAGUAUUCAUGACAUAGAAGGCAUGUCGGAGGAUGCUUCAUUGUGGUUGUCAUUGGAGUCUCCUUUGGACAAUUAGAGAUUAACUGAGAAUAAGGGCAAAGCUCUUUUAGGGGAAUUCGUCUCGAAUAUUUCAGGUUAUAUGAUUGGGCUCCUCACAAAGUAAUGUUUCUUUAUGUAGGAUCGGUCAGUCACUUACAUAGGUUUGUCCCGUAAUACUUUACGUAUUAGUGCUUCAUUGCUAGAGUUUUUGUCCAUCUUUGUCUAAAGUGUUCAAAUGUUAAUAAAAACAAAAUAGAUUACAUAAAGAAAAAUAGAAGAUAAAAACAAAUAAAAAUGAGAGAUGUUUAAUCAACCAAACAAUCAAUGUUUAACUUCUCGGUGCAUAUUGUAGAUUAACUAAAUUUAGAUUCAUUUAAUAAAACUUUGAAAAUAAGUUCUAGAAUCAAACAUUGAUUUAGUUUUAAUCUAUAACAAAUUACUUCAUUGAUUCCAAUUUUUCUGUAUAUUUGUUUAUCUUUUUUGUAUUUGUUUUAUAUAGUCAUUUGUUUGGUUAUUUGUUAAAACUUGUUGAUAUAAUUAGAACUUAAAAAUACUAACCACAACUAAUGGUGUAGUGUCAAAAUCUUUUUCAAAUGAAAAACUGUUACAUCUAAAUACUUACUUAAAUAAGAUUUUUUAAGUACUAUAUAUAUUUUGACUCGUGCAAAAUUAAAAUAAAAUUUUAUUAAAUAUUUAUAAGAAUAUAAUUUAUUAUUUGUAAAAGUAAUAAAAUUUAUUCAAUAUUUAUUUUAAAUAAUAGUAAUAAUAAUUAAAAUAAUGAAUUUGCAAACAUUUGGAGAGUGAAAAAGGCAACCAAAAGGUUUAGAAAAAUGAGAGAUGACAGGGGAGAAAGAAGAUGAAAUAGGUUUACAGGUGGAAAAGAUAGUGAGAGAGGUACGUAAGGAAUAAGAUUGGGAAAGAACAGUCAUUCUAAAAAAUAAAUAUAAAAGGAAAAUCUUCUUUUAAGAAAAAAAUUUUAACAACUUUUUGACAACGUAUACGUGGCAACUUGUGAUUGGUCCAUUUUAAAUAUUUUUUAAACAUAAAUUUAAAUAGACCAAUAAAAUAAUGAUACAUGUCCCGUUAUAAAAAAAGAUGUCAAAAAAGUGUUGUCAAAAUAUCAAUGUCCAAUAAAAAAUAACAGAACGAAUAUUCCACAAGUAUUUCUAGAUUCAAAAAAGAAAAAUGAUAUUUUAACACUAUUUUUUGACACCAUUUUGACACUGCACACGUGUCAAAAUGUGAUUGGACGAUUUCAAAUUAAAAAACAAACUUUGGUUUUUCUCUUCCAAAUAUACCCCUGCCUCAACUUUUUUAAUUUGAAAUCGUCUAAUCACAUUUUGACACGUGUGCAGUGUCAAAAUGGUGUCAAAAAAUGGUGUUAAAAUAUCAUUUCCCAAAAAAAAUACUGUCCGGAGUACCUAAUUUGGAAUGCAUGAAAAAGUAUCUUCCAGGAAUGAUGAAUCCGAAAGAUGUUUUCGAACUAAAAAUUUCUUCUUCGGGAGUUUCAUGUUCUUCCUUCAUUCCUCACCACCGGCAGCGUCUCCAAAGCAAACAACUAUGUACACAAAAACUCCCUCAACUUCUUCUACCACCUGCUUCUUCUCCCUAGAUACGUUACACUGUUACAUAUCUGUCUGUUACAUCUCUGUCAUCACCAACGCCUAUGCCGCUAUCCCUGAAUAACUCUUCCAUUGCACCACCUCAUUAUCUAAAUCAACGAAGUGUCACAUUAUCUAAAUCCAUGAAGUGUCAAACAAAACUGUUAUUUAGACUUGGCUUUCCGUUUUGUUGUUAGUAUUCUGAACGGUCCUGUGUUAGACUGUCCGGUUGUUAGCAUUGUUCGUUCGGCUUUGUUUUUCUUUGCUGUUUGCUUUCUGUGCUUGAGUUGGUUAUAUANNNNNNNNNNNNNNNNNNNNNNNNNNNNNNNNNNNNNNNNNNNNNNNNNNNNNNNNNNNNNNNNNNNNNNNNNNNNNNNNNNNNNNNNNNNNNNNNNNNNAUAUAUUGUAACCAACCCCUUGUUUCAAAUAAGAUUUCACGUAAUAUUCAUUUUUCUAUCUCUCUGUUUUCUCUUCUGCUUUUCUCUUCUUUUCUUGGUUUUCUUGUUUCCCUCUCAUGAACCCAACAAUUGGCGCCCACCGUGGGGCACUGAUUCAAGAAUCUCCAAGAAGUCAUGGCAACCAAGUUCGACGUUGAAAAGUUCAAUGGUUCUAAUGAUUUCGGGCUGUGGAAGAUCAAGAUGGAGGCUAUCUUGAUACAACAGGGAUGUGAUGAAGCGUUGAAGGGUGAGUUGAACAUGAGUGUUGCAAUGUCUCAAGAAGAGAAGAAGAAGAUGGGAGAUAAAGCAAGAAGUGCAAUCAUCUUGUGUCUUGGUGAUAAGGUACUAAGGGAGGUUGCAAAGGAGAAGACUGCAGCUGAAAUCUGGGCGAAACUGGAGUCUCUGUACAUGACGAGAUCGUUGGCUCAUAGCUUGUGUUUGAAGCAACAACUCUAUUCAUUCAAGAUGUCAGAAUCAAGAACGAUAGAGGAGCAGCUUGCAGAAUUCAGCAAGAUAGUCGAUGAUCUGGAGAAUAUUGAAGUGAAGUUGGAGGAUGAAGAUAAAGCUGUCAUCCUGUUGAAUGCUCUUCCAAGAACCUUCGAGCAUUUCAGGGAUGCUUUGCUCUACGGGAAAGAUCAAGUGAUCACGUUAGAGGAGGUUGUGACGUCAAUUCGAACCAAGGAGUUCCAAAAGCUUCAAGAUUUAAAGGCAACCGAGGAGGUAGCAUCUGGACUGAUCUCGGUGAAAGGGAAAUGGAAGAAGCAGGCUGGAAAAGAGAAGAAGCUGAAACCGGACGGUGUGAAACAGGUGCGAUGUUUCAAGUGCCAGAAGAUUGGUCAUAUCAAGAAGUUCUGUCCGGAGAAAGGAAAGGCCGUUCAGUCACAGGAAACUGCUGAUGUGGCAGAGGCGUCUGAGGGAUAUGAAUCUGCUGGAGUUCUGGUGGCUUCGUUUGAAGAUUCUCAAAGGAGCUGGGUCAUGGAUUCCGGCUGCACCUAUCACAUGUGCCCAAUGAAGGAGUUCUUUGAGAAUCUUGAUCAAAAAGAGCAUGGGAAUGUGCUGCUUGGAAAUAACAAAGCUUGCCGUGUACAAGGAGUCGGGUCGGUGAGACUGAAGAUGUUUGACAACCGAGAGAUGGUACUGCAGGAUGUGAGGUAUGUGCCCGAACUAAAGAGAAACUUGAUUUCUAUUAGUUUGUUUGAUCUUGAAGGUUACACCACAAAAGUUGAAGAUGGAGUAAUGAGGGUAUGUUCUGGAGAUUCUGUGGUUGUAAAAGGCAGAAGGAGGAACGGCUUGUACAUUCUGGAGGGAUCAACUGUCAUUGGUCAUGUCUCGGUAGCAAGUGGGACUGAGAACACCGCUCGGCUCUGGCACUUGAGGAUGAGACACAUCAGUGAGAAGGGUCUUGAAGAAUUGGAGAAGCAAGGCUUACUUCUGGGAGAUAAAUUGCAGAAGCUAGAUUUCUGUGACCAUUGUGUCUUAGGGAAAUCACACAGGAUACUGUUCGGUAAAGGGAAGCACUCAACCGAACGACCCUUUGAAUAUGUCCAUGCUGACUUGUGGGGACCAGUAAGAACCUUAACUCACGGUGGAGGGGCGUAUUUCUUAAGUAUAAUUGAUGAUUUUUCAAGGAGAGUGUGGAUUUAUGUUCUAAAAAAUAAGUCUGAAACGUUUCAAAGGUUCAAAGAGUGGCACACACAGAUCGAGAACCAAUUGGGAUGUAGACUGAAAUGUCUAAGAACAGAUAAUGGGCUGGAGUUCGUUUCAGAGGAGUUUAAUGUGUUUUGCAAAGAGAAAGGGAUCAGGAGGCACAAGACUGUUGUUGGAACUCCUCAACAGAAUGGUUUGGCUGAAAGGAUGAAUAGAACAAUUCUGGAGAGGGUUCGGUGCAUGUUACUGGGAUCAGGGUUGUCAAAGGCUUUCUGGGGAGAGGCUGCCAAUACAGCUGUUUAUCUGAUUAACAAGAGUCCAUCUUCGGCUCUCAAUUUUAAAACGCCAAUGGAGUUGUGGAGUGGACGACCGGCUGAUUACUCACACUUGAGAGCGUUCGGUUCUUUGGCGUUUGCUCAUACCAAAGGUGAUAAGCUGGAUUCCCAAGCAGUGAGAUGUGUAUUUCUUGGAUAUACCGAAGGCAUUAAAGGAUACAGGUUGUGGAGGUUAGAUUCUAAACCUUCAAAAUUAAUCAUUAGUAGGGAUGUCAUGUUUGAUGAAACAAGGAUGGCAAUGCAUGCUGAAAACUCUGGAAGUGAGAAGAAGACUCUCGUGGAGGUGGAGCAUACUACCGAACGAGAUGUUCGGUCGUUGACUGAGAAAGACCGAACGGGUGAAGGGCAAGAUGAAAACGUUNGGANNNNAGAGGAGAACCGAACGAGUNAAAAUCGAACAAAUUUUGGUGAUGACACANAUGGUANGUCUGGCAAUGGAAGUCACUCAAAAGNUGCUGGUGUUGAUUUGAGGAACUAUCAGCUUGUUCGUGAUAGAGAAAGAAGGAUCUCUAAGCCGACCAAACGGUUUGGAGAGGCAGAUCUGAUUUGCUACGCCUUGAACGCUACUGAAGAUCUUGACCGAUCGAAUGAACCGAGAAGUUACAAGGAGGCCCUUGACAGUAGCGAUCGACAUCUUUGGCAGGGUGCUAUGGAGGAAGAGUUGGAGGCUUUGAAGAAGAAUAGCACCUGGAGACUGGUGGAUCUGCCAAAGGAUAAGAAGGUUGUAGGUUCGAAAUGGGUUUUUAAGAAAAAGGAAGCUAUACCAGGCGGUGAGAAAGCGAGGUACAAAGCAAGGUUUGUUGCCAAAGGCUUUACUCAGAUUGAAGGUGUAGAUUAUCAUGAGAUUUUUGCUCCAGUGGUUAAGCAUUGUUCGGUCAGAGUCCCGAUGGCAAUAGUUGCUCAUUGCAAUUUGCAUCUUGAACAGUUGGAUGUACGAACGGCUUUUCUGCAUGGCGACUUGGAGGAAACCAUCUAUAUGAAGCAGCCAGACGGUUUCGCUGUGGACGAUAGGGUGUGUCUGUUGCAGAAGUCUCUCUAUGGCUUGAAGCAAAGUCCAAGGCAGUGGUACAGGAAAUUUGAUGAUUUUCUGAUAAAGCUGAACUUCAAGCGGUGCAAUUAUGAUGACUGUGUAUACACUCUGAAUCGUGACGGUGAGGUGCUAUAUCUUCUGCUCUAUGUGGAUGAUAUUCUGAUUGUCAGCAGUAACAGGAGCAUGAUCCAUGAGAUGAAAGCAAAGUUGGGUGAUGCUUUCGAAAUGAAGGAGCUAGGGGAAACAAGGCGGAUUUUGGGCAUAAACAUUAAAAGGGAGGGCGGAAACCUUUUUCUGUCUCAAAAGUGUUAUUUGCAAAAGGUAAUUUCAAGGUAUCGGAUGGAUGAAUCUAAAACUGCUGGCACACCGAUCGGCCAACACUUGAAACUUACCAAGGAACAAUGCCCAAAGACAGAGAAGGAAAGGAGGAAGAUGGAAUCUGUUCCAUUUUCAAAUGGGAUUGGGAGCAUUAUGUAUGGCAUGGUCUGCACAAGACCUGACCUGACACAUGGUGUAAGUGUUCUCAGUCAGUUUAUGGUUGAUCCUGGACAAAUUCACUGGGAAGCAUUUAAGUGGAUGCUCAGAUAUAUAAGGGGGUCUCUUGAUACUGGAUUACUCUUCCAGAAUAACUUUCAUGGUGGAGAUUAUAUUGAAGGUUUUGUUGAUUCUGAUUUUGCCGGAUGCAUGGACACUAAGAAAUCCCGUUCGGGAUAUGUGUUUACAUUGUUUGGUACUGCUGUUAGCUGGAGGUCUACAUUGCAGUCAGUCGUUGCGCUGUCAACUACUGAAGCUGAGUANUGUGCUCUUGCUGAAGGAGUUAAGGAGGCACUGUGGUUGAAAGGUUUGGUUCAGGAACUGGGUUUUAAUCAAAAAUUUGUCUGUGUUCAUUGCGACAACCAGAGCGCCAUUCAUCUGGCCAAUCAUCAGAUUUACCAUUCCAGAACGAAGCAUAUUGACAUCAAGCUGCAUUUUGUCAGGAGCAUAGUAGAAUCCGGUGAUGUUCAAAUCUGCAAAAUCGCAUCCGAAGUCAACCCCGCAGAUAUGUUGACAAAGCCGCUUACUAAAGAGAGGUUUCUUAUGUUGCUGUCCAGGAUUGGGUUUCUACCGUUCGGUCACUGAUUGUUUGACCAUUCGGUAUUUUCUAUCUUGUUAAAGCAAGUCUAGGUGGAGAAUUGUUAUUUAGACUUGGCUUUCCGUUUUGUUGUUAGUAUUUCGAACGGUCCUGUGUUAGACUGUCCGGUUGUUAGCAUUGUUCGUUCGGCUUUGUUUUUCUUUGCUGUUUGCUUUCUGUGCUUGAGUUGGUUAUAUANNNNNNNNNNNNNNNNNNNNNNNNNNNNNNNNNNNNNNNNNNNNNNNNNNNNNNNNNNNNNNNNNNNNNNNNNNNNNNNNNNNNNNNNNNNNNNNNNNNNNNNNNNNNNNNNNNNNNNNNNNNNNNNNNNNNNNNNNNNNNNNNNNNNNNNNNNNAUAUAUUGUAACCAACCCCUUGUUUCAAAUAAGAUUUCACGUAAUAUUCAUUUUUCUAUCUCUCUGUUUUCUCUUCUGCUUUUCUCUUCUUUUCUGGGUUUUCUUGUUUCCCUCUCACGAACCCAACAAAAACAUUUAAAUCAUGGAGGUGCAUAGCAUAGCUCCAAGAAAAUGGAGAAUACGGCUAGAUAUAUUACUUUUAUUUUAUUUUUAUCUUUUUUUUUAGUUAAUUAGUUUAUUAUUUUUUUAUUUGUAUUUUGGACUUAGUUUAUAUUUUUUUUAUUAUAUAUUAUGCUAAAGAUAGUCCUUUAUGUAUAUUGCUUUGAAUAGGUAUAUUAAUCAUUUGUUCUUAUGGAUGUGACAUUAUCUUCUCGUAUCUACUAAUUAAUUAAUGUACUUGAGAUCUAUUAAUUAAUGUACUUGAGAUGUAUUUCCUUUAGCUUCCAAAAAUGACGUUAUAUGAAUUGGAUUAAAAAGGAUUGGUCAUUCUAAAAUUAGAAUUCAUUUUUUAUAAAAAAUAUUCACUUCAUACCAUAUCUUAAUGGAUUGACGUAAUUUUUCUAUUGUGUAUAUAUAUCCAUAAUGAUGUUGGUUUUCCAAAAUUAAAUUUUGGUGUUCAGCAUCUCGAACUAGUCAUCCUUUAACCUAAGAGAGAUUAAUUUCAUACAUAGUUUUUACUAAAUUUAAUAUGAUAUCUAGAGCCUAAGGUUUUUCUUAGAAAAAAAAAUCAUUGCCUUUGCCAUUGCAAUCUUCGUUGUCGGCGGUGGCAAAAUCUCGUUGUCAACGAUGGCGUCAUCUCGUUGUUGGCAAUGACGCCAUCUACUGUCGUUGCCACCAGAGUUUCAGUUUCGACUGAUAAUCACAUGAUUUUGAUUGCCUCAGCUAAGCGAUCAUCGUGCCUUCAAGUGCCUUUCAAAGUUGUGGAUUUGUUCCUUUUUUUGUCGUGUGGUGAAUCCUGUCUCCUCUCAAACAACGAUUUAGAGCACCAAGGUCACUCUUUUUCCUCUUUCAAGUCUGUUGUGUUUGGUCAUAUGUCUCAUCUCCUCUUAAGCACCUAUUUAGAGCAUUGAGGUCUCUCUUUUUCUUUUUUCAGGUGCCUUGAUUGAAGAAUCUUGAAUUAUUAAGGUUUCUCUCUUUUGUUCAUUUAUGACUUCUUCCGUUGAUGUCUCUUCUGUCACCGAUGUGUUUGACCUAUCCAUAUAUGCUUUUUCUAUAGUGGCAAAAAUGAUUUUUUUUUUGGUUUAUUUGUAGUCGUGAUGGCUAUUCAACAAUGAUCUAAUUAUCCAUUGGGUGCCAACAAUGCAUUCCUCAACAGCGAUUUGCAAGAAAAGAUUUACGUGGAGCAACCUCCCAGAUUUGUUGCUCAAGAGAGUCUUCUAAAUUGAUAUUUCUAUGUCGUCUUUGCAAAUCAUUAACAAUUUGGUGUCACUCGAGUACAAAAGUGAUAUGAUCAUAGAUGGGGCAACAAUGAAGAGUUAGUUUAAGAGUGACAAAAAGCACAAAAAAAGUAGAAUAGGUUUCUUGGCUUGUAUUUGCCUCUUUUGUUCUUUCAUUAUUUUUAGUUGUAGAGAAGCUUAUAAACUCUUUUUUUCUUUAUAGUACAAGCAAUGUAGGACUUCACAUAGCUUGAACUUAAAAGAAAAGAAGAAUAAGUAGGCUUUAUCCUUUUGUUGCUUGUAGUGCAAGUAAACAUGCAUAGUUUGUAGCUUUUGAGUUCUUGGCUUGCUAGGAAGAUUAUAAACCCUUUAGGAAUGGAAGAUUUAAGGGAUGUGGGACUAAGCUACACUAGGGACGUUGCUAGUCAGCUUGGGAAGUAUUUCAAGUCUCACAUCCCUUAAAAAUCUCCACUUAGUUCAUCCUAAAGUUUAUAUAAGUAGCCUAGGGGUCUCCUUUUGUACACACCUAUGAAUGAAUCAAUAGAGUGAUUUGCAUUCUUGCAUUUCUUCUUUAAGAUAGAAACUUGUCUAUUAGUCUUUUUGAGGAUCUUAUCUUAAGCAAAUCAAGUGGCGGUCAAAUCAUUGGCACUUAUCUUGGAAUCCUUUUCAAGUGGCGAUUAAAUCAUUUGCAUUUAUCUUGAUGUUGUAUGGAGCGUUUGUGGCUGUUGUUUUCAUUACUUUUGUUGCUGUUUGUAACAUUUUUUUGUGUGAGUUUUGCUGCUAUUUGGUGUUAGAUAACAUGUCUACAGGUUCAAGGCAAUCUUCCUCCAAUGAAGGUAGUCAUCAAGGAAGUGCUUCUAGCAAGUUAGACAGAGUGAAGCCUAUUCAACAACUCCAACAUCAAUUUGAUGCUCUUAGUAGAAAGGUGGAUAAUGGAGAUAAGGCAAAGGGAAAACAGGUUUAUGGUCACCAAUACUGCAACCACACCUCUCAUGGACUUAGUCAUGCCAAGAAGAAGUAAGAAGCUAGAACCAUGGACGUAUACCUUCCCUUGCCAAAGUUGCACUUGUCGCCCUUCAAAGGAGAAGACCCUAAUAUUUGCUUAAAUUUGAUAACUAAUGUAGAUAAUAUUUUCGCUUUGUAUAGUUUGGAUAAUUCUUGGCGUGUAAAGUUAGCUUGUUUAACUUUAGAGGGAUACACCAAACAUGGGCUAAAUAGGAGAUACUUAACCAUGGCCUCACCCACGAGUACAUGGGAACAUUUUAAGGACAUUAUUAUCUAGUGCUUCAUACCUCCUCACUAUUUUCGGGAACACUUGCUUAAGUUCCAACGGCUUAAGCAAGGUAGACGAAGUCUGGAGGAGUAUGCACACGAGCUUGAACUGCUCAUACAUCAUACUAACACUAAAAAAAUGAUCAACUUUAAUAUGAAGAUAAGCGAUGGAACACUCUGCUCUAUAGUAAAGGGGGUAGACGUAAAGCUAACGAAUGAAGAGUGAACUGAGAUAACCGGUUUCAAACUAGGAGGUGAACAGAGUCAUCUGGGUGUGGAAGGAUUUCACAACAGUAUAUCAAGACUGCCUGAGGAAUCCGGACGAAGUAAGAUACUACUCUCACUAUAGUGAAUUACUCUCCAAUCUAAGGUUGAUUGGGAGGGUGACUGGAUGUAGGCAUUGAGGCCAGACCAGUAUAAAAAUUGUUUUAUUUUUCUUCUCCUUAUCUCUUUACAGUUACAUUUACAUCUAUUGUUUCAUUGCACACAUAUUUUCUUACGACACAAUAAAGGUUUCAAGAACAUUAUAGUUUGCGAAAAAGAUUUAAAAAGUGCAAGUUUUUAUAAAACACCAAUUCACCCCCUUUUGGUGUUGAGAAAAAAAGUCCAUCAAUUCUAACACAAGACAUCAGCAAAAGGAGGAGAUACCGAGCUAAAACAAAAAGCUCAUAGCACUAGACCGAGAAAAAUAAGCUCAACAUUCCAAUGCUCGAACAACAAUUUGACAUGUAUUCGAGUACAAGAAGAGGGUGAAGUACAAACGAAGUUUAACAUUGCAGUACCCGAGCAUAAAAAAGGUAAAUUCAGCAUUCUAGUACCAGAGUAUGAAAACACAUUGGAAUUCUAGUGCUUGAGCACAACAAGCGAUCCAACGGCCAAGCAUUGGAAUAACUCAACAUUUUGAUAUAUAAGCAACUUGACCCGAUUAAAUAAACAAAGCAAUAGCUCGACAUAAUGAUAUCUAGCACAAAACCUUACUAAAGUCGGCUGCAUCAAAGUAAAAACCUGCCCAAAGUUAGCAGCACUAAAGCAAAACAUGACUGAAGUCAGCUGCAUCAAGACAAAAUGUUGAGAUUGUUGAUAAGGGAAGCACUGAUAAAGGUUGAAAAACAGUUAUUUUCAUAUGUCAAUUUGGACCGAAUUACGCCAUUUACUACUUGGAAUGAGCCUAGAAUCAAGCAAAACUCAAUAAAUGAGUNNNNNNNNNNNNNNNNNNNNNNNNNNNNNNNNNNNNNNNNNNNNNNNNNNNNNNNNNNNNNNNNNNNNNNNNNNNNNNNNNNNNNNNNNNNNNNNNNNNNNNNNNNNNNNNNNNNNNNNNNNNNNNNNNNNNNNNNNNNNNNNNNNNNNNNNNNNNNNNNNNNNNNNNNNNNNNNNNNNNNNNNNNNNNNNNNNNNNNNNNNNNNNNNNNNNNNNNNNNNNNNNNNNNNNNNNNNNNNNNNNNNNNNNNNNNNNNNNNNNNNNNNNNNNNNNNNNNNNNNNNNNNNNNNNNNNNNNNNNNNNNNNNNNNNNNNNNNNNNNNNNNNNNNNNNNNNNNNNNNNNNNNNNNNNNNNNNNNNNNNNNNNNNNNNNNNNNNNNNNNNNNNNNNNNNNNNNNNNNNNNNNNNNNNNNNNNNNNNNNNNNNNNNNNNNNNNNNNNNNNNNNNNNNNNNNNNNNNNNNNNNNNNNNNNNNNNNNNNNNNNNNNNNNNNNNNNNNNNNNNNNNNNNNNNNNNNNNNNNNNNNNNNNNNNNNNNNNNNNNNNNNNNNNNNNNNNNNNNNNNNNNNNNNNNNNNNNNNNNNNNNNNNNNNNNNNNNNNNNNNNNNNNNNNNNNNNNNNNNNNNNNNNNNNNNNNNNNNNNNNNNNNNNNNNNNNNNNNNNNNNNNNNNNNNNNNNNNNNNNNNNNNNNNNNNNNNNNNNNNNNNNNNNNNNNNNNNNNNNNNNNNNNNNNNNNNNNNNNNNNNNNNNNNNNNNNNNNNNNNNNNNNNNNNNNNNNNNNNNNNNNNNNNNNNNNNNNNNNNNNNNNNNNNNNNNNNNNNNNNNNNNNNNNNNNNNNNNNNNNNNNNNNNNNNNNNNNNNNNNNNNNNNNNNNNNNNNNNNNNNNNNNNNNNNNNNNNNNNNNNNNNNNNNNNNNNNNNNNNNNNNNNNNNNNNNNNNNNNNNNNNNNNNNNNNNNNNNNNNNNNNNNNNNNNNNNNNNNNNNNNNNNNNNNNNNNNNNNNNNNNNNNNNNNNNNNNNNNNNNNNNNNNNNNNNNNNNGGAUUAGAUGAAAUUGUAAACCCCCAACAACAUCCAUUCAUCCAUUGUUUUCUUUUGUCAAUUGAAUCAACUUUAUUUUGCAUGUUAAUAUUUUUGUUCUCAAAUCCAAUUUAUUAAUUUUUAUUUUCAAGUCUUAUUAUUUUAAUUCAUGUGAACGAGAAAGUCAUUCGAGUCUCUUCGGAAGAACGAUAUUGGAUUUUACCAAUUAUAUUACUUGUACGAUUUGAUACACUUGCCAAUUUGUCAACAAGCACUGGUUUAGCUAAACCUUAAUCUCACAGUAUUUCUGGUUUUUGAUGAUGACAAUACAUUAUUAAUAACACAUGUAUUGAUAUGUGUUACAUGUUCAAAUCUUUACUGUGUAUGUAUUCUUCUAUAUAUGUAUGCAUAUUCAUUGGCUUUCUUACAUGAGAUAUCAUCUGUGAGUGCAUUACAUAUGUUUCAGAAAAGAAAACCACAUGCACUUGGUUGAACUUAUAUUGUGUGGCAAAACUGCAAGUUUUAAGUCAACUUCAUUAUGAAGUAAGUCAACUAAAACUCGUGACUUUGCACAGAUUUUCUAAAAUAGUGAUGUGAGUAAUUUUGCAAAGAAAAGAUUUUCAAAACUGCAUUGAAAUGUUAAAGUCGAUUAUAUGCGCAGGCAAUUUGACUUAGUUAUGUUUUGAAAUUCUGUUAAUGCUUGUGAACUAUAACGACUAUAUUUUAAUUUUGUGUUUAAGCAUUUCUUGCAAGUCAACUGAAUUAAAUGUGUAAUCAAUUUGGUUGGUCUGACUGCAACUGAUUGUUUUAAUUGUCAUAACUGUUUGGUUACAGUCGAUUGUAUUAGUAGCCAAGUCGACUACAAGAGCAUUUGUUUCAUAGAAAACUAUAAAUAGACGUGAUUCUGUAAUUCACAAUUGUACUGACAUUUUCAUUCUAUUGUUUCAGAUUUGAUACUCUAUGAAUCGCUCCAAGAACUCAUCAAGAAGUCCGUGGAGAUCUGUCUUGGAUAGUUGCUUGACGAGCAAGGUUGUGUGAUAACGGUUCAAAAAUCGUUAUUUUUAUACUUAAAUUUGAUACAAAACACAUCCUUUAUGACUUAGAAACUAGCUUGAAAUCUUACGUUUUGCUUAAGUUAAAGAAUAAGAGAGUCAAAGGUGGUUUUAGUGGUAUUAUGCUUGGUUUUCCUUGUUUUUGACAGGAUUUAACGUGAAUUGAAUGAAGGAAGUUGAAGUAGGAAGGAGUAGGACUCAAGAAAGGAUGGAGAAGUGCACAAAUGAAGAAACGUAGCCAUUGUUGAGCGUUAGGGCAACGUUGAGCACCAGUUUUGCUGAAUGGUUAUUUGUCAAACGCUCAAGCGCCAACGCUGAGGGGAGAAAAUGAGUAUUGCACCCACCGUUGAGCGCUACCUCACCGCUAAGCGUUGGUUUCUUCAGUGAAGUCACUGCCAAACGCUUGGGCGUCAACGCUAAGCGUCCAUCUUGAAUGUCGUACCCACCGUUGAGCGGUGGCCCAGAGCUGAGCGCCACUGCUUUAGGCUUGGGCUAAUUUCUGCUGAUUUUAAUGAGUUUAUAAAUAGAUUUGCACGACCUAGAUGGUUUAUCUUUUGGCAGAAUAGAUGCAGAAACACAUCUCUCACCCCUUGGACGCGGAUUUUAGAUGCAGGAGCUCCAACUUAUCAAAUCUAGGGUUUAUCUUUUCAUUCUUUUCAUUUUUUCAUCUAGUUUCACCAUGUCUAUGGUGAACUAAACUUCCAUUGUUGUUGGGGAAACGAUGUAAUCCUAUUGAACUUAAAAUUUCCAUUGUUGUUGGGCAAAUAAUAACUUAAACGUUGGCCCAAUUAUGACCCAACAUCAUUUAACCUGGUUGAAAUUAGUUAGUGUAGCGUUUGGACCGAACGGUCCUGGAUGGUAAACUUUCGGUCCAUACUAUAUACCACACAUAUAACCCCAAAGUCCGAGUUAACUGUUUGGCUAUAACCAAGUUUAACUAUAGGACUUAUAAUAGGCAUAUUGGAGUUUGGGAAAGGUCGUUCUAGUUGUAUUAGGGAGCUUGUUUUCAAUGCGCUUUUAGUUGUUGCUCAUUUUUGGACCGAACAGUGAGUUAUAGGGGUUCUCUUGAAACCUUUUUCUUCAACCGAGGCCAUAGAAGGUUAAGCAGUAGGGGCUGAAUGGCCAAAUACAUGAGAGACCGAAUGGUCGAAUACCUGCGAGGCCGAAUGGCUGAGUGCUUGGGAGGCCGACUAGCCGAGCACCUAUGAGGCUGAAUGGCCGAACGGUUGUAAGGCCAAAUUGUCAUAUGGUUGUGAGGCUAAAUACCUGUGAUUCAGUCAUUAUCAUCAAAGCUUCUUGGAUGAUGAGAAGGAUUUAUCUCUCGGUCUUUAACAUCAACUUUCUGGUUGGCAAAAAGGCUUUUUACCUCUCGGUCUGUGACGUCAACUUUCUGGUUGACAAGAGGGAUUUACCUCUCAGUCUUCAACAUGAGCCUUCUGGUUAAUGAGAGGGAUUUAUCUCUUAGACGAGAGGGGUUUACCUCUCAUUCUUUGACAUUAGCAUUUUGGUUGAUGAGAGGGAUUUACCUCUCGGUCUUUGACAUCAAAGCCUUCUAGUUGACGAGAGGAAUUUACCUUUCGGUCUUUAACAUCAACUUUCUGGUUGACGAUGAACCCCUGGUGAAAUUUGCAACCUAUGACUGAGCAUGAAUUGCUCGGCUUUAUGUAUUCCAUAACGAAAGCACAAGAAAACAACAAAAGUCUAAAUCAAAGGAAACUAAAUUAAACAUGACAUUAGUAUUCAACCAAAGUAGAACUUUGGACGCCUCUCCUCAAUUGAUAAUUCUAUAAACCGAUCGCUCACUACGACGACUACGACUGGGACUGCGACUAGGACCUUGCCUUUGCUCGUCCUUCCGAUACGACCGUUCGGGACUUCUUCGCAAAUAUCCUUCCCCGAGGGGGAGGGGUGGGGGCUUCCUCUUACUUCUUUUUAUAUACCUACGGAGAUGUCCUACCUGGAUGAGACUUUCUAUUUCAUUUUUCAGCGUAAUGCAUUCUUCUGUAUUGUCUCCAUGGUUCUGAUGGAAAUGACAACUCUUCCUUUCGUCUGUGUUUUUUGGAGAUGGUUUCUUUCAAAGUGUGAGAAGUUCAACAUUAAGGGCUUCUUCGAGAACUUUUGUCUUAGGUGAAUUCAGGGUUGUAAUGGUUAAACUUAAGUGUUCGGGGAAACUCCCCACUCUUAUCACUAUUGUCGAAUGGUUAUUUUCCUUCCUUCAUGCUUCAACCUGUAGAAGCUUCCUGUCGUUGUUUCUUUUGUGAAUUUCUCAUAUCUUAAAUAUGAACAUACUUAGUGGCUCUUUCCUGGAGUUCAUUCAUGGUUUUGGGCGGUUCCACAUAUAUACUUUCACCAAAUGACCCAACUCUUAAGCAUGAAGACAAAGUGUUGAUGAUGAAUUUGUGAUUUAUAUCCUUAAAUCGCCAUGUGGUUUCAUUAUACCUUUUCAUAACGGCCUUCAAGGUUUCCCUUUUUUCUUGCUUAGUGUUCACCAAUUCCACAAACGUUAGCUCUUGUGCUCGGUUGGAUGCGAAUUGACUUCCAAAAAGAGAUUCCAUAGUGGCAUAACAGUCCACUUUAUUCAGGGAAGGGUAUUAUACCACGCUAGUGCCUCCCCUUGAGUGAUAAUGAAAAAGCUCUACACAAAAUCGGGUCACUGUUUGAAUAAAAAGCCAUUGCAUUAGCGAACACCCUAAGAUGAUCAGUUGGAUCCAUUGAUCCAUCAUACUUAUCCAAUGUAGGAGGAGUUUUUUCUGGCAUUGGAGUUUACAUGAUGGUCCCUAUAAGAGGGAGUAAACUGGUAGGUCGAACGGUUUGCAGGGGCAUUGGUCCCCUUCUUCCUUUAUCGUUCGGUAGGGAUGGCUAAAAAAUCUGCAGGAACGGGUAUCUGUGGGUAAAAUCUGUGCGUAAAAUCCGUGGUAGAUAGUUACUACCCACAGAUAUUUACUACCUGCGGGUAACGGGUAGUAGGUGUUUUAAUACUCGCUUCUAAAUGGGUCGGGUACGGGUAGUAUACUACCUGACCUGCGGGUACCUGUUACUCGCAAAAAAUAAUAAAAAAAUUAAUUUAUAUAUUUUUUAAUUAAAUUUAAUUAAAAAUAAAACAAAAUUAUAUUUUAUUACGUUAAAUUUAAUUAAAAUUAAAUUUUAAUUUAUAUUUAAUUUAAUUUAAUUUAUAUUAUAUUUUAUAUAUUUCUUGUAAUGCUAUUUAAAUUUUAUUUUAAAAUAUAUAAAAUAUUUUUUUUACUUUUUAGGGGUAUCCACGGGCACUCGCGAGUUUUAAAAUAUCCGCGGAUAUUUUCUAAACGAAUACUCGACGAGUAGUGGGUCGAGUAACAGGUACAAUUUUAUCCGGCGGGUCGGGUUGCAUGUAGGCAAUAUCCGUUCUCGACCCGACCCGUUGCCAUCUCCACCAUUCGGGUUGGAGUGUGGGAACGGUUGUCGGUUGUGGUCGUUCAAGUUGGAAUGAGGGGACGACUGUCGGUUACGAUUGCCAUCAUUUUCAUUCUCUCGGUUUGAGGCGGACCACUAGGUUAGAACUCGUUCCGCCCUUAGCACUGCAAUCUCCUCUGCUAGCUUUUGUUGUAUCUCUUGUUGUGCUUACGCAUGCGCCUGCAUCUAUGCUUGCAUGUCCCUGAUCAGUUCCUUGGUGUUCUGUUGUUCCUCCAUGUUCCUUCUGGUCACCAUUAGGCUUCUUCACUUGCUCCUGGUCCCACAGUGGAUGCCAAAAUAUUUCAGUAGGGAUUUGUAGGGCUGAGAGACUAACCUUUCUGACAUGACUUUACUGCUUUUGGAUGCUGGAAUCGUGUGCUCUACUCACUUGCCUUCAGUCUGGACAGCUCGGUUGCCUUCAGUCUGGAUCGCUCGGUUGCCUUCAGUCUGGAUUAGGGAUGGCAAAAAGACUCGUGCCCGCGGGUAUCUGCGGGUAAAAUUCGCUGCGGGUAGUUGAUAUCCGCGGGUAGCGGGUAAUUUAAUACCCGUUUUUUAACGGGUCGAGUUCGGGUAUCAUAGUAUCCGCCCCGCAGGUACCCUUUACCCGUAAAUAAGUUGAAAUGACCAUAUUAUCCUUAGGGUUAUUAUUAGGUUUAACUUUGUGAACUUUCUAUUCUAUCUUAUUGUGCCGUUGGCUGAACUAGAGGAAGGCAGAUCUACAAAAUCCCAUCCACACACGGGGAAACUUUUAAACAAAAAUUUCAAACCUUACAUUCCUAAGCUUCACCGAUCCCUUCAUCCCUCACCCAGCUUGUUCUGUUCCUUUGGCAAUGCAUCAAAGACACAAUACAAAACACACAUGCACAAUGCGAAAUACACACAUAACAACACCAUCACCAAAUCGCACCCACACACAUAACAACUCCAUAGUAUAAGCAAGGGAAAUAGCGAUAGAAUAUGAAGAGGGGAGGAGAUUGGUUGGUGCUGUGUCAGGCGGUGAAUGGCGGUUGGUUCGGUGGAGGUGACGGCGAACGAUUCCGUCAGUGGUGAUAGCUUCGAGCUUGAAGGAGAGAACUAUCUCUCUCGCGCGAAAAGAAGAGGAAAAGCGAAGCUUGAAGCUGCGACUGUCGAUGGUCCCGAUGAUGAACGGUGGUUGCCCACAGUGGUGGUCCGACGGGAUUGGUGUUCCUGUGGCGGUGGCUCAUGGCGGCAGCAGCAAUUGCCCUCACCGGCAGCGGUCUACGAUGCUGGGAAGUUUCUUCUCGCGGCGAAAGAUGUGGAGGACGAACACAAGGAUUCCAGCUUCAUCUUUCUCACCUUUUGCUUGUUUAUGAGAACCCAUUCUCUAUGUUUCUUUCUCUGGUUACUGUUGCAAAGGUUUAACAAUGAAAGAGAAGAAGGAUUUGAAUUGAAUUAUUAAAGAAUGCUAACCGUUCUUGGGUUUUAAUUUUCUUAAAAUUCGAUAUUUUUUAUAAUUUAAAUUUAUGAUUUUGUUCCAUUAGGAGUCUUGAAUGUCUGUUUUAGGCUUAAUCUUUAAUUUGUUAAUUUGAUUUAUUUUAGUAUUAUUAUUACUUGUUAGUUUAAUUUAGUUUUUCAAUUAACUUGAAUUUAUCCACAAGAAUUUAUAUUUUAAUUUAGUACUAUUAUUAGCUUAAAUUUAUAUUUUAAAUUUUUAUUUAUUUAUUCAUUAAAUAUUAGUGGGUUGAAAACGGGUAUCCAACGGGUACCCGUGGGUUGAAAAAAAUUUGCGGGUUUUUUUUAUGCAGGUAUCCGACGGGUAACAGGACGUGUAUGGGUACAGAUUUUUAUAUGCGGGUCGGGUUCGGGUAUCACACUAUCCGUGCCCGACUGGAUUCGUUGUCAUCCCUAGUCUGGAUAAAGGGGCAUGUAUAUAUGCAAAAGGUACUCUGACACUCAAGUUAGGCAUGUGUCGAGGAGCUUUUGCUCACAAUUGAAUAUUCAGUGAUUUGUUAUCACUAUUGAGUAUUUGGAAGCAUGAGUAGAACGUACGCGGCCUUUGGCUUUUGCUUUAUAUUUAUAAGUCGUCUUAUGGAUCCUAAACUAGCACAUAUCCAAUAAAAUAAAAACAGACUUACCUUUAGAUUCGGUCAGUUGCUCAUAAACAACUUAUCAACAUCUUUAAUGAGAUAUCUUUGUUUAUUUUAUAUCAUCCUAAUAACUUAAACGCUGAUCCAAUUAUGAUCCAGCAUCAUUUAACUGGUUGAACUUAAUUGGUGUAGCGUCUAGACCGAACAGUCCUAAAUGGUAACCGUUCAGUCCAUACUAUAUACCAUAUAUAUAUAUAUAUAUAUAUAUAUAUAUAUAUAUAUAUAUAUAUAUAUAUAUAUAUAAACUAUUUUAAGUGAUAAUGAUUAGGGCUAACACUUUUGUUAUCUAUGUUUUUAAUCAUAUAUAGACAAUUUAUUGUGGGAAAUAUAUUCUUUUCCAUUUCAAUAAUUUCAUUUAUAUAUAUUCUUAAUUAUAAUUUUUUCUAUUUCAAUAGAAAUUGAGGAGAGAGAACAAGCUAUCCAUUUCAAUAUUCUGGGAAUAAAAGCUGAGUGCAAUUAUACAGACAUAUUAGAAUGAAAAGUUAAGUACCAUGUGAAGUUGAUUAUAUUUGUGCCUUGUCUAAAAGAAAAUAAAUAAAAAGAAGAAAAGAGAACCGAAGAGAUGAAAAUAAAACCAACGUUCUGUUUCAUUACACCUGCGUAACAAAUGCUAAGGAGUAUUUUUCAUCGUUGGCUCAAUUUCAAUCCAAUUCCUCCACUUAUUCUGAAAUAUAUAUGAGGAACUACUUAAACUAAUGGGUCAAAUCCUAAACCCUUGCUUAAGAGAAGGAAGAACAAGGUUUGCAUUGAACUAGCACAAAUAAACUAGUUAUAAAUACAAAGGUAUAUGAUAUACCAGAAUAUAUAUAGUUGUUAGUAGGACAGAUUAUUACAGUUAACCUUGGCUACAGUGUUGGGUAUUAUUAUAAAGGUUGUGUCAUAGUCAUUCUUUUUCACUUGUAGCCCCAUUUAUUGCACUUGUCUUUUGCUUUCUUUUCCACUCUCUCACUGGAAAUGCUCUUUUUCUCCUAUACUCUUUGUUGUUGCUUAUCUAGUUGUCAUUGUAUUUGCGGGUUUUUCUCAUCUUGUCCUGCAAGUAACUAGGGUUUUCCGUUUUCUCUCUGAACUCUCACAUCCAAUAGUGAAUUCCCAAGACUUCUAUCCCGGUGCUUGUAGACUUCUUUUUCACUGGCAUUAUUAAAGAAUAGAUCUUGAAAGACCCUUCUGCAAGAGAGAAAAAAAAAAGGUAUUGAUCUAAAUUACAAUAUCGUUUGUUCAAUUAAACCUAGCUAGCUAGCUAGCUGUACAAGGUAUAGUUUUUCCCAAUUAUAUGAUUCUUUUUCUUCUUUCUGAUUGGUGUUUUCCCAAUAAAUUUAUGUUCUAAGGCUUGAUCCAGGUUUUGGUUUUUGGAAAUUUUUGAAAGGAAUGAAAUUCUGGGUGUUUGAGUGAUAGAUAUAUCAUCCUACUGAAAGAGUUGAAAAUUGAGAAAACUUCCACGCGUCAUAUCCACCAAUAACCUGAAAAGAUUCCUGGUAGGUGUACCUUUCUUUUAGCCUCUCCAACUGAAAAACACAGAAAGCUAGACCUAAGGAGAGAUGAGGAGAGACAGGGAGAGAAAUUCAGGGAAGAAAUUUAUUAGUCUGAGAUGAGGAAAUCAAACACACCCCAAUUAAUAAUACUGUCGUCUCACAUGUAGAAAUAAGGGUUCUGGGUAGUGAGAAAAUCUAUAAAUAGGGCCUCCUCUUUUCAGUUUUUCCAAUCCACUAAUUCUAUAGUGGACUUUGAUUCAACAUAAAGACGGCUUCGGAAUAAAAAGUAAGAGAAGUUAGAACAGUAGUUGAAAAUGUUAUUACCAAAAAAGGAAGUAGCAGGAUGUGCUUUAGGCAAGUAAAGUCUCCUUAACCCUAGUUUUUUACAUGUUCAAGCAAGUCUAGAGACUAAAUUUAGAUUCUAUACGAUCAUUAUACGAUUAACUAAGCCCGCGUUAGCUUUUAAUCAUUUUCAAAAAAUGGUCUGUUGCUAAUUUUCUUUAUAUAUAGCUUUAUUUGCUCCCACUUUAAAAUUAUAUUCAUGAGAUGCAUGGUAUUUAGUCACAGGAUACGUGCUUUUAAAGUAUUNUUCAAACUGUAAUAGAUUGUUUUGUGCUGUAUUUUGAUUUUCAUGUUAGAUAAAAUGUCUUUUGUUCAUGAGUUGGAGUACCUUCUGUACUCUACUCUCCUUUAUGAAUUUCCUCGUUUGUUAUAUAAGAAAAACUGUAAUAAUAUAUAAAUGAUAUGAUGAAGUUAUUCUAAAUUUGAGAUUUUGUAUUGUUUUUUGUGUAUGAAAUAUUGGGUAAUUGCAGUGAAGAUCAUGGCCUCAUCUAGCUACUCUAACUCUCCCUGUGCUGCGUGCAAGUUUUUGAGAAGGAAAUGCAUGCCGGAUUGCAUUUUUGCUCCAUAUUUCCCACCAGAAGAGCCUNAAAAGUUUGCCAAUGUUCACAAGAUAUUUGGUGCAAGCAACGUGAGCAAACUCCUGAAUGAAGUCCAACCCCAUCAAAGGGAGGAUGCAGUGAACUCUCUAGCCUAUGNNNNNNNNNNNNNNNNNNNNNNNNNNNNNNNNNNNNNNNNNNNNNNNNNNNNNNNUGGUAUUUAGUCACAGGAUACGUGCUUUUAAAGUAUUUUUCAAACUGUAAUAGAUUGUUUUGUGCUGUAUUUUGAUUUUCAUGUUAGAUAAAAUGCCAACUCAAGAUGGUAGAAGAAUGGCUGAAGGUGGAGCUUCCUCUCUGGGUCAGUCUCCUGGUUAUUACUACCCUUCUCCUUGGAACAAUGAUCCACUUGGGGAUGGUUAUCACCGAGGUGACAAUAAUAUGUGAUUAAAGUUUACCACUUAUAUNCCUCUAGGGUUUCUUAUUGUAUAGUAUUUAUUAUCAUCAAGGGCUGGUAUAUAGUCAUAGCGUGGUUAUCAAUAAAAUAUAUUGUAUGUUAUUGUAAGCCUGCCGUUCAUAUUUCAUAAAAUGUGUCUCUUGUUAUAAAUGUAUCUGAACUACUACUUCUCUGCAGUUCAUAAGUGAAAAUUUCUGUUCAUAAUAAAACUCAAUUUCUGUUCCUUUUUCAGCUCACACACACAAAUUAUAUAUAUAUAAUAUUUGUUUUGUAAUGUUUGCACUACUUUUUAUAUUAUGUAAUUUUAACGAUAUUCUGUUGUUGAUAGAAAAAUUGUCACCAACAUAUAAUAAGUCAUUCUUAGAAAUGCUGAGGCACUCGCCAUACAAACUAAAAAACUUUAUGCUAGAGAAAAAUUUAUAUAGUUUCUUAGUUACUUAACAUCGAAAUGAAAAAAAAAAAAAUGAUAAAAAUGUUUCACUAUUUCUGAAGCAUGUUACUAAACAUAUUAAUUAUUUAUAUGCUCACCUUUGAGACCACUAAAUUCGCACUAUAUUUUUCCUUUUCUUCUGAUAAGAAACCUAACUAAUAAAUAUACCCGAAAUGGCCCCACGCAGCAUUCCAAACCAGCUAUCAUAAUAAAUUGUGAGAAAUUGGUGGCUAAAAAUAAUCAUAUAUAUUGGACUUUUAUUUUCUUACCAAUUAGAUAGUUUAUUUUUAUUCAAACGGUGUCAAGUCUAGUAUAUGAAAUUAGGUAACAAGAUAAACCAAUAUUUAAAUUAUUGUGAAAAAAAAAAUGUUUAUAUCUAUCUUGCAUGUCGACAAAAACUAAAAAUAAAAAUAGGGUGAAAAAGAAAAGUAAAUAAUUUGAUAUUCAAGGAAUGAAAACAUAUAUAUAGAACUAGUUGGAACCUACCUUUUGGAGCAUGAACUUCCUCUUCCUAUGUACUACUGACUUAGAUAUUACUACAUAUAUAAAUUUGUAGUUGCAUGAGAAGUGGAGAAGCCAUGAUCUCAAAACGAUCAAGCUUCACUAAAAUGUAAUGGGUUACCUAUGAUGUUGAAUUAUGUAUUUAUAAUGGGUGUGUGUAUAUGGCGUAAUAAUGGCACGCCAUUGAAAUCGGCAUAAAGAGAAGACAGAUUACCUCGUAUCCCGGUGUGCUUCACUUUUUCAUCAUAAGUUAAAAGCCUUAUUAAUGAGAACAAAUAGAAGAGGGAUAUGACAUUUUGUUCAAAGUGUACUGCUACUUUCCCUGCUAAUAUUGUUGACUUUGUAUUUGCAUUUUGAUUAUUUGGUGUGCUUCUCAAAAUUAUGAAGAAAAGAAUAUAUUAUUUGUGAUGCUUCCGUGAUUGCAUUUCCAUGUCCUCUCUUCAUUACAACAUUAUGAUUAUGAUGAGUAUGAAGUGUAAGUGGUACUGGUACUGGUGCCUAGGGAUGGAGAUUGUUCUGUUCAACGGCAUGUGAUGAGGGUACAUGGAACCUUUUUAGACAAGUAGUGUGCAUGGUGCGGAUAUAACGGGGCAUUUUCUUCUCCCCCUUCUCUCACGCUCAGCCAUGUGAAUAUUAUGCUUAUUCUUUCAUCUUCAUCAUAGUAACCAUUUCAGUUUAGAAACUAAUUAGGUUAUACCUUCAAUUCUUAUAGGUAGCAGAAUUAGUUCUCAUAGCCUCUCAUGUGAAAAAGUUGAAGAAGGAAGAGAAGGAUAACAUGUAUUUGAUUAAAGAAGGAUAAUGAUACUUAGACAACAAUUUUUUGACAAUAUUUGAACACCAUCUACGUGUCAUUCUGUGAUUGGUCAAAAAUUACUCCACAAUCAAUAAUAAUAAUCAUAAACAUCACCAUAGACCAAUCACAUAAUGACACUAAAUGAUGUUCAAAUGUUGUCAAAAAAAAAGUUGUCUAAGUAUUAUUAUGAGUUUAUUAUCGGAUGAAAAGAGAAGGAAACACAACAAAAUAUAUAUAUAUAUAUAUAUAUAUAUAUAUAUAUAUAUAUAUAUAUAUAUAUAUAUAUAUAUAUAUAUAUAUACAAAGCAUAACCAAAAAAAAAUAGAAAUUGCAUUGGAGCUUGACAAUACAUUACAAACUUGGCAACAUGAAGAGUUUGAUUAUGAAUAAAGAUACUUAGACAACAUUUGAAUAUCAUCAUACAUAUAAUUGUGUGAUUGGUUCAUGAUGGUCUUAUUGUGUCAUUUGGAUCAAUCACACAAUGACAUGUAUGAUUGAUGUUUAAAUGUUGUCAAAAAAUGUUGUCUAUAUAUCAUUACCCUUUGAUUAUAUGAAGAGUUUGGUAACAUGAUCAGUUCGACCAAACAUGAUAAACUUAGCUACAACUCACAAUUCGGCAACAAUUCAAGUACAGUUUGACAACAAUUCGACUACAUAUGGACAACAAUUUAACUACAGUUCGACAACACAUGAUUGUACUUGUGUUCUACAAAUUUUUUGGGUAAUGUCCAACCGUGUAAUGUGUCAAGCAUAUAAUCAUAUCAUUUAAGAAUUUAGGUUAUUAAUAGCUUAUAAGCAUUUUCUUGUUUUAAUCUAACAAGAUUCAUGUGUUAGCAAAAUUAUUAAAAUUUUAAAUUAGAUAGUAUUUUAUUCGUUUGGUUUUGAAAUGAAACAUUUGUGUUAGAAAGAGAACAAAAUCACUUGGUUUUAACUUGAGAUUUGUUCUGGUAGAGACUAAUUGACAUGUCAAAACUACAAAAAAGAAAAUAAUAAUAAUAAUAUUUAUAAAUAUUUCUCUACCUGAAAUUAUGAAUCAUGAUAGAUCUUAUAAGGUGAUUUUUUAAACAGUACAUUUUAUGGGAUGAUUCCUUAAUGUGUCAGCAAAUUUCAUAUCAGUAAACAUUCAAUAAAAAAAACAAAAGAAGAAACAAAGAUCGAGAUGCAUUUUCAUUGUAGCUUAAACUUUAACAAACUUGUUUCUAAUAAUAUAUCGAUUGGUACAGUUUACAAAAUCAUGUUGUCAUAGGUGAGGGGUUUUAGGCUUUACUUAUUUACUUGAUAUAAGUUAAAUGUGUGUGUUGUGUAAAAUGUUAAAAUAAAUUAAGCAAGAUAAAUAGACUUUGUACUAUUGUUUUAAAUAAGAAAAGAAAAAAUGAUUGACGUCAACUUUUACUGUGAAUUAAAGAGAAAACCUUUUAGUUUUGCACAUGUCUCAAAAAUGCAUUGAUUUAAAUUAGGGAACAAGAAGAGAAAGUUAAGCUUUAUGCAUGCCUGAGAAUUCGCCUUUGAAAAAUUAUACUUGUCCUUUCUCUUCAACAACUUAUCUCCUUGACCCAUUGGAACUAUGAUGACAAUGUGCUCCUGUCUCAUCUACUUCCUUCUGCUAUUCCCUCCCAUUAUUAAUUUUAGCUUAAGAUCCUUUUCUUAAACUCAAUAACUAUAUAUUCAAAAAAUUCUCUGCUUUCAGAUUUAAUUUUACAUUUAAUCAAUCUUAAUUUUUUACCUAUGCGAAAUUAUAGAGUUUAAUUCAAACUAUUUUGUUUGGUGUUGAGAUAAGAUGUUGGAAGUUCCAUAUCGAAGAGAGAUAUAAAGUAAAUUCAUAAUAUAUAAGUGGAUGAAAAUCUCACUUUACAAGUUGGUUUUGUGGGAUUGAAUUAGAUUUAAAGUUCAUUUUUUAACACAUCUAGAAUAGAUACAAAAUCAAUUUAGGUUUUGUGGGAUUGAAUUAGACUUAAAAGUUAUUUUUUAACAAAAGAAAAGAAAUUUUUUUCUUUAAUUAGGUAUCUCGUGAUCCUCUCAUAUUCUAGAAAUUCUAUUAAUUGUAGGAAUAUGUUUCCUUGUCACUCUCAAUAUCGCUUCGUCAGAUUACAAGGUUUGAAAGUCUCUAAAUUGGGUAAAUUCAAAUCAAAUAAAUUUUGGCCGAAAGUAAAUGAGUAUUUUUGUUUCAAUAUCUUUAGUUCUAGAUUUAGAAUUGGUAAAAUUAUGGAAGGUGUUUAACUUAGCUCACACAGCUUGGAUAAUUAAGGGGUGAGUUAAGAUUGGAUCACUUCAACUCAGUGUUCUUUUGAUUAAAAAUUUUGUAUUUCGAUGUAGAUUAAGUUAAAUAUGUUUUAAUCAUCUAACAUAUUUCAUAUAUUUAUUACAUUAUAACAAAAAUAUAUUGAUUCGAUUAAUUUUUUAUAUCACUUUAAUUUUCACAUAUUUCAUAAAAAAUAUUUUAAAGAUGUUAAAAAUUAAAGUGUUAAUUUAUAUAAUUUGAAAAUCAAAUAAUUAAUGAUUGAAUAAUAUUUUAUUUAAAAAAAAUUAAAUUAUUAAUCUAUAUAAUUAGAAAUAAUAAAAAAUUAUAAUAAAAAGACUUGUGACAAACAUGAUAAAAAGAAUAAUAAAAUAUUGUUGAUUAAUUAUAGAUUAAUUUAUUUUUAAUCCAACUUAAAUUCACUUAACUCGUAAAUUAAGUGAAUUGGUAUAACUAUUUUUCUUCUAAUCCAAUUUAAUUUAAACUUUUGACGAACUGGCUCAAAAAUUUAAAUUCAUUUUUAAAUUAUGAUAUACGAUGAUAACUGCACUUUUAAAAACAAAACCAGUAUAACUUAAAAUUAAAAAUAUAUAUAUUGCUUUUGUAUUUUUUGGAAUAAACUGAUUGGUCUAACCUAGUAACCAAAAUUUGUAGUUGGAUAUCCAACUUAGAUAUAGAUUUAUUAAUUAGUCCAUUUAGCAUGAUCUAUCUGUUUAAGAAAACUAAUUCAAUGAUUUGUUUUUCAAAAAAAUUACGUAACUUUAGUUAAUUUUAUUCAACUUUUAAUUAUAUAUAUAUAUAUAUAUAUUAAUUAUAUUUACAUGAAACAUUAAGGUAUUUUACCCAUUAAUGUAGCUAAUAGUUCCAACUAAUUAGUCAAAUAUAAUUUAUUUUCAUCAUAACAAUUUUAAGGUAUAGGUUAAUGUUAUGGGCUUAGACCUGAUCGAUGAAUGUGGAGCAAUGAUGAAAUGGAGGUAAGGAUCGAGUAGGAAACAUAUUAAAAAGCAUUUCAAAAUCGCUCGGUCUCGAUCGUUAAAAGAGUCAAGGCGCAAAUUAAUGUCAUAAUGAUGACUGUUAAGGUUUGUAUUAAUGAUUAUUAAGAGAUAAAUUAAUUGGUCAGAUUCUUAUAAACUCUAUAAAUAGGAAUUAAUGUCGAGGUAAACUCAUUUCGACUUACUAUUGAAUUACAAAAGACCUAAAGAGAAAAAUUUUGACUUGGGAUUAAUGUCGAAGUAAACUUACUUGGACUUACUAUUGAAAUACAAAAAGUCUAUAGAGUAAAAUUCUAACUUAAGCGUCGAAGUAUAUUCUACAAGUCAGUUUCUAUAUCGUUCGGUCAUUUGAAGCCAAAAGUCUUGCAGCAUAUUUUAAAACAAAGAAUAAAGACGACAUUCGAUUGAGACAAGAACUCUUUAUACUAUUAUUCUCAUCCCAUUUCAAUAGAAACAGUUAACAUUAAUAUUUUAUGAUUAAUGAAAAGGAUACACUUAUGGUUUUGGGGUUUGAAUUUGAUACUGAGCAUGGUUCUAUACAGGAAUCUAACAAUAGCUAUUUUCUUUUUGCUCUUUGUCGAGAGAUGUGAAUUAAAGUGUGUAUGAAGUAGAAUUUGGUGGUAGAAAUAGAUGGGGAGAGAAAAUAGGUGAAGAGUUGGAAGAGAGAGGGACUAGAGAACUAAAGAAUAGGCAACACAUUGGCAUGGAAAAGAUACCAAAUGUUUCUCUUUGUCAUGCAAAACUGAGCACGCGUACUGAUCAACAUUUCCAUAAUAGGUUAUUUUAGUACGUGUAUGAUUAAGCUUGGUUCGGGGAUAUUGUUUUCUUAUCACCUUCUUAAAAGGAAAUUAUACUUUUUUGCAAUUAAUGUCUAAACUACUCCACUUAUAACUACAUGGAUAUUUUAAAUCUGUUGCUAGAUAAGUUCCGCUAAUUAAUAUUCAGAUAUAUGCGACAAAAUGUGUGGAAACCUAAUGGGCCACCCUUAACCGCCCAAGAUCGCUUCCAUCCCAAAAGUUAUAUCACAAUGACUUGGUCACUUUAGUUUGAUUGAUUGAUGAGACGAAUGACAUGCCCAAAAUUAAAGCCCAGUGAACUCAGGCACAUGCCAGGUGAGCUAAAAAGUCUUUAUUCCUCCUUCAUUCAUUCAAUUCUAAUAAAUUCAUUUUGUACUUUUCAAAGGAGGAGCACAAUUCUUCUUCCUAAAACAAUGCUUCUUCCUAAAACAAUCAUUGCCAUUUCCUCUACAGACCUCAUCAACACAAUUCUUUUCACAUCUUUAUAUUCAUUUCACAUAUAUUUUACAAAUAAAAUAAUUAUAAAAAAAUAGAUUUUUAUAUUUAAAAAAAUAAAAAAGUAAAAAAUAAUAUUAAAUAAAUGUAAAAAUUUCAUGUAUUCUAGUAUAUUUUUUAUGUCUUGCUAUUUGAGAUGAAAUAUAGAUAUUUUACAUGAUUUUCAAAUAAAUGAAAUAAAAAAAUGUGAUAUUGGUAUACACCGCAGUUGAAUUAAUAAACAUUAAUAAGUAUUUUUACAUACAAUAUAUUAUGUGAAAAUAUUUUAAUUUUAUAGAUUUUUUUUGUUAAUUACUUUGUUUUAUCUUUUUGAUUCUCAGUCAUCUAUAAAAUGAAUAAGUGGUAUGUUUAUAAAAAAAAUUUUCAAAGUUCAUGUCAAUUGAAUGUGUCUAAUAGUUAAUGUUUAAUAGUAUACAUAAAUUAUUUAUUUUGAUAGUUGUACUAUUUAUAAUAAUUAUGAUAUUUGUGCGUCUUUAUCUAUACAGGUUUAGAUAUGUGCAAUGGUUCAUUUAUCUCAUAAGUUGAUUAUUUAAUCCAGAUUUUGCUAAAUUACAUAGUAAUACGUCAUUAGCUUUGUUAGUCCGAAAAUUAGUCAAAUAGAUUAGGUUGUGCCCAGGUAGAAGUAGUCAAUUAAGCUGACUUGUCGUCGAGUAGAAAUAAUAAUGUUGAGAUUGUUGAUAGGGGGAGCACAGGUUUAGCUGAACCCACAAUCUCAGUGAUAUCUGUGUUUUUGAUGAUGACAAUUAAUACAUAGUUAAUAAAAGCACAUGUGUAUGUACUAUGUUACAUGUUACAUGCUUAUAUGUUUAUUUUGUUGUAUUUGUACAAGCAUAUUUUGUGAACAUAUUGGAUUGUUCAAUGCAUACCAUUGUGUCUGAUAUGUGACUCUAUCUGUGUAUACAUAAUAUAAGAUUUCGAAAAUGAAAAACCACAAAUACUAUGUUUGAACUUUAAAGUGUGGUAAAACAAAAAGUUUUUAAGUCGAUUACAUUACUGGUGAAAUUGAUUAAAACUGGUGAGUUUGCACAAAUCUUUUUCAAGAGUGCUGUGAUGAAUUUUGUGAAGGAAAGUUUUCAAAAAUGUGCUAAGUGUUUCUACUUAAUCGAUUGCAUGCAACAUGUAUUCGACUAAGUUAGUUAUUAAUUUGAAAACUGUUUAAAUGCUUGACGUAACUGUCACAACGAUCAUAUUUUCAAAUAUGUUGACCAAGCAUUUAUUACAAAUCAAUUACAUUAAUUGCGCUUUAAUUUAAUGCAUUUGACUACUAUUUUAUUUUUUUAUAACUGCAAAAUGUAUUAGACUUGAUUAAUAGUGUAAUCGAUUAAAAUGCGUUUAAUUUGUGUUAUACUAUAUAUUGACGCCUGACUUGAAUUCUGUAAGAAGAAUUGAUCUUUACACUUUUAUAUCUUUUAGUGUACUCCUUGACAUCUUAAAAAGGAGAGAAAAGCUCUAAGAACCAAGAACGACCAUGGUGAUCAAAUUCUUGAAGGUUUCUUGCGUAACAAGGUUGAUUGUUUUGGAAAUGUCUGAUCGUUCUGCACACGAAUGUGCUUCUUACGUGAUCAAGAAAAGCUUUGGCAAUCGCUUAAAGUUGUUGGAAUUCCCUGUGGUGUAUAUAGGAAGAACUACAAGGUUCUUGACUUUGAGGGUGUCUCAAAGGGGUUGACAACAGAAGAGGAUUGUUCUUGUUGCGUGUCUAUUUUGUACUGCCUAUAUUAGAUUUGUUAGUUAGAGAGAUGUUUUACAUUUUGACGUGAGGUUGCUGUAAAAACCUUGGUGUAAAAACUCAUAUCUCUAUAGUGCAUUGACUUCCAUCUCAGGUUGAGUGGAAGGACACUAGAUGUAGACAGGUUGGUCAAACCAGUAUAAAAAACAGUGUUUGAAUUCUCUUAUUCCUUCUCUCUACAUAUAGUCGAUUAACUGUUAUUGCAUUCGAUUAAGUGUAUUGUUUCAUUGCAUACAAAUUUACAUGCGAUUCAAGAAAAAGUCCAAAUACAUCCUAUUUUGCGAAAAAGUUCUUAAAAGAAAAAAUUUUUACACAUCACUAAUUCACCCCCCUCCUCUUGGUAUGAGAAACGAAUCACUUCUUUUUUAACAAGGAAGAUAAGCCAGCUUGUGGCCGGGUAGAAACAAUAAGACAAGCCGACUUGUGGCUGGGUAGAAACAAUAAGACAAGUCGGCUUGUGGCCUGAUGGUUCACCAUUAGCUUUGAUAGGCGAAUAUAAACCUUGUCAAGCGACAUAUCUAGUUCUCGAUAGACGACACUUGAUUAUGGUAAGCGGUAACUUACUCUGGUUGUACGCACCUAGCAGGCAACACUUGACUCUCGAUAGAAAACAUGCACAUAUGAAUUCCAUGUACUACACAAAUGAAUUAGAGGGGGAGAAUUAAUACAUUGUUCUACUAUUUUUUUUGCUAAUGCCCAAAGGGGGAGAGUUAAGGGAAUUGUAGAAAAUGUUGGUCAUCAUAAAAAAAAUUGGGAAUAGUGUUUAUAGAGGGAGCCUAGUCUCUCUCUAUAUAUUGGUUUUUGAUGAUGAAUAGUUUUAAAUGAUGAGAAAUGGUUUUAAUCAUUCUUGCACAACAAAAUGGCAUUUAAAUCAUUAACAUGUUAGUGCUAGAUGUAUUAAUACAUUCAUGAUUAGUGAAACAAGCCUAAACAGAUUGAAAAACUAGGUUUCUGGUAAUAAUAAUCGAUUACGUAAGUGAUAUAAUCCAUUAGAUUAAGUCAAAACACUUAGAAAGCUAAACAAGGCAAAAUCAUUAUGUUAUAAUCGAUUACAUAAGUUACAUAAUCGAUUAAAAUAGAGAGAAAGACAUAAUUUGUUAUACAUAUAACAUAAUCUGUUAAGAAAGGCAAAUGGAUGACUAAAUAGGAUAAGUGGAAAAAUAAUCGAUUAUAUAAGUUCCAUAAUCGAUUAAAUAGAAAGAAAGGUCUGAUCCAUUAUACAAAUAACCUAAUCUGUUAGGUUAGUUAAAAGAGACAGUUAUAGGCAUAAAUAUUGAAAUAAUCGAUUAUACAUGUGUUAUAAUAUGUUAAAACAGAAAGAAAUCAUAAUAGAUUAUGCUAAUAAUGUAAUCAAUUAAUCUACGUCAAGAUUUGGUUUUUCUAUAUAAACCAGACUUGAGACCUGUUUCAUUAACGAUUUUAAUUGCUAAAUAUCGACAUUGUUUCUAAGUUUUAAGUAUAGGGUUUCUCAAAAACUGUUCUUGGAGAAUUUCAAGCUUAAUUGGUGACCUAGGCCACCUUUAUUUGCUGGUGAGAAUUAUUCCUUUUGAAAAAUUAGAAUGAAGAUUUUCUUGGAAUCAAUAAACAAAGGUGUGUGGGAUGCCAUGAUUAAUGGUCCAUAUGAACCAACUAAGAUAGAAAAUGGGAAAACCUAACCAAAGACUUUUCUGAGUGGACAACAGAAGAAAGUAAGAGAGCUCACUAUGAUGUAAGGCCCAAGAAUGUUCUCGUAUAUACUAACAAUCGAUGAAUUCUAUAGAAUUUUAGUUUGUGAAAUAGCCAAAUAGACGUGGGAUGUUUUAGAGGUUACACAUGAGGGUACAAAUGAAGUAAAAAGGGCUAGAAAGAAUUCUUUAAUUCAAGAGUAUGUGAUGUUCAAGAUGAAAAAUGGUGGGAACAUAUAUGAUGUGCAGAAAAGAUUUACUCACGUAGUAAAUCACCUUCUUGCUCUUAGAAAGACCUUUGAUAAGGAAAAGCUGAACAUGAAGAUCCUAAAGAGCCUAAAUUGAAAUUGGCAACCUAAGGUUACAACCAUCUCAAAAUCAAGAGAUCAAACCACGACUACAUUUUUUGGAAAGCUAAGGGAACAUGAACUAGAGCUAGGAAGAUUGAAUGAAGAAGAAGAAGGAGAGCAAAGGCACACAAUUGCUCUCAAGAAUGAUGCAAGAAUGGUGCAACAAUGUUAACACCCUGGCAAGUGUACCAGAUCGUAUCAAGUAAUAAAUAAAUGGUAAGUCCGAGUAUCGUUUUCCCAAGAGACUCACGACACUAAACAAUUGUGCUUUUGCUUAACCAAUUAAGACUUAUAAGAACAAUAUUUUUGAGGUUUUUGAAUGCAAAGUGCAGAAAAAUAAACAUGAAUGCAAUUUGAUCAGUUGAGGCUAAACACAAAAGUGGAUGGAUGAUGUUGAUAAUAUGAGAUGAAUAUGUUGUUAGGAUUUAGAUUUCACCUACUCACUCUCAUGCAUAAACGAAUUCAUCUUCUUCAUUAAUGUGAUGAUAAUGGAAUUAUGCAUGAGGUGAUAGCUACAUACACACCUUAACACAAUGGCCCGACCGAGAGAAGGAAUAAAACAUUGCUUGACAUGAAAAGGUGCAUGAUCAAAGGGAAGAAUCUGCCAUAUUGUCUAUGGAGGAGAGGUUGCUUCCACAACAACCUAUCUGCUGAAUAAAAGUCCAACAAGAGCCCUGCAAAAUUAUACUUCAGAAAAGGCUUGGUCAAAAAUUAAACCUUCCACAAAGCAUCAGAGAAUUUUUGGAUCUGUGUGUUACAAACACAUUCCAAAUGAGAGAAGAAAUAAGUUGGAUGAUAAGAGUGAAACCUUCAUCCUUAUUGGCUAUCAUCCAACAAGUGCUUAUAAGUUGUACAGUCUAGAGAAGAAUCAAGUCAUGAUCGGUAGAUACAUUUUAGUAGAUGAAGCUGCUACAUUCAAUUGGGUGGAAGUAGAGGCAGGUUUGAAACCAGAUGUUGUUGUGUCUAGCUAGCUGGAGGAAAAGAAACUUGAUGAUGUGGAACAGGUUGUUAUUGAUGUAGAAGCCAAUAACAAAAGAUCUCAAAGAGCUAGGUUCCCUUCAACAAGACUCACAAGUCAUUGAAAAUAAUGAAAUAACAUAUUUUGGUGACCUUGUUCACCUUACCUUCCUAGCCGAUGUUGAAACACUUUCAUGGAAGCAAGCUAUUGACAUAAAAGAAUGGAAAUAAGCUAUGUUGGAGGAGCUAAAAACAAUUGAGAAGAAUAAAACUUGGGAGAUGGUAGAGCUGCCUCAAAACAAACAGGCUAUGGAGGUCAAAUGAGUGUUUAAAACUAAGUAUAAACCAGAUGGUAGCAUAGCAAAGCUUAAGGCUAGAUUGGUUGCAAAGCAUAAGGCUAGAUUGGUUGAUUUCACUAACUUUUUGCUUCGAUUGCAAGACUGGAAACUGUGAGACUUGUAGCUGCAGUGGCAAAUCUUAAAGGCUAGAAAAUCUACCAAAUGGAUGUGAAGUCAGUGUUUUUGAAUGGUCCACUAGAGGAGGAAGCGUAUGUGAGACAACCAGCUGUGUUUGAGUAGAAAGGGGAAGAGCAAAAGGUGUAUAGGCUUAACAAAGCCCUAUAUGGGCUUAGGCAGCACCUUGAGCUUGGAAUAAUCACAUCAAUAUGUUGCUUCUAAGACUGGGAUUCCAGAAAUGUUCUGUGGAGUUUGGAGUGUAUGUGAAGUCAUUUAGACAAUAAAGUACUUUGUUGAUCUGCUUGUAUGUUGAUGACCUUCUUGUGACUGGAAACUCUGAAGAAGAAAUUGUAGAGUUCAAGAAAAGAAUGAAAGAAGAAUAUGAUAUGACUAAUCUCGGCUACUUGAGUUAUUUUCUUGGGUUGGGGUUUGUGCAGACUGCGGAUGGAGUUUUCCUUCACCAAAGAAGGUAUGUUAACGAAGUAUUGAAAAGAUUUAAUAUGAAAGACUACCAUUGCACUUCAAUUCCAGUCAUGGCAAAUUUGAAGUUGUCUAACCAGGAAGAAGAAAGAAAUAUGGAUGCAACUUUGUUUAAGCAAAUAGUAGGAUCACUCAGAUAUAUCUGUAAUAGCAAGCCUGACAUCAGUUAUGGAGUUGGGUUGGUGAGUAGAUUCAUGCAUGAUCCAAGGCAGACUCAUCUUGUUGCAGCCAAACACAUCCUGAGCUACUUGAAAGGAACAACAGGCUUCGACCUUUUCUUUCCUAAAAGAUCUGACAGUAUAAAUGAAGUUUUGGAGGCAUGGUAUGAUUCAGAUUGGAGUGGUGACCAGGUGGCUAGAAAUAGCACAUACGGUUACUUGUUUAAGUAUAUAGGAGCACCAAUGUCUUGGUGUUCUAAUAAGCAGAAUCUGGUUGCACUCUUUAUGUGAAGUUGAAUAUAUAACUUUUGCUGAAACUGCUUGCCAAUGCGCCUGGUUGGAAGUAAUUCUUGAUGAAUUGAAGAUUGAUUAUAGAAAACCAAUAUAGCUUUUAGUAGACAUCAAAUAUGCUAUUAGUCCGUCCAGAAAUCUAGUUUCAAACGGCAGAAGCAAGCACAAAAACCAAAUUUCACUACCUAAGGGAUCAAGUUAACAACGGGAAAUUGAAACUGAUAUACUAUUUCAUAGAAGAACAGGUUGUGGAUAUUUUUACCAAGGCUUUAAGGCAUAAUAAGUUUGAAAAUUUAAGGGAUUCACUUGGUGUUAAAUCCUUAAAGAGUUUAGUUUUAGAAGGGUGUGUUGAGAAUAAAAGCUAAACUCCUAAUUGUAUUAACUAUAUGUUGACAGUCAAUUUCUUUUGUUUUCUGCUACAUACUCUGUACAUUUAUACUUUCUUCUGUUAAAGAGAAAAAUGACUCUGGUUUUCUCUUCCUCUCUUUUCAUAUACUUUUUACAUCUCUCUUUGCAUAAUUCCCUCAAACACAUAGGGGUUAACAUUAACUACAUAUCUUCAAUUAACGAUCCCAUAUGUCAAACUAAAGAACUAUGUGUUGUUGGGAAAAUCUCACUAUACACACUCAAAUAUUUUUCAAAAAUUGAGUCUUAUUAUUCAUUGAUAAUGGAAAGACCUUAAAUAGCCAUGAUACUUACAAUAUUAUGGAAAUAAAAAUAAAAUCUGAAAAUAAAAUAUCAACCGACUUAAAAAUAAAAUCUGCUUAUUCUAUCAUAAAAUAAUAUUCUACCUAGAUAAACAGAAAAUCAUAACUAUCCAUCCCAAUUUUAUCUCUAUCAAAUCAAACUAAAUAUUACUAGACCUAAAACUAAUAAAAUAAUAAAUCUCUAAAAUUUAAGUUUAUCCCAACAAACUCCCCCAAAAACUUAAAUUCUUCCUUCCUUGCUUUCCAUGUGUAUCAUCCCACACCGGGUUUGCUUCUUCUCUCCAAGAUUUUCAGCUCCAGUUCAUACAACCGGUUCUUCUUUGCUUUUACCUGGGUUGUUAGACGACCAUGAUUAUCCUUUAAAUACAACACCUAAUUUUUCAUAAAAAUUGAAUUACCUUUUUCAAUUAUCUGACCCAUGCUUAAAAUAUUGCUCUUCAACCCCGGAACAUAAUAAACAUCCUUAAUAUCUCCAACUUGUCCAUUAUUCUGAAUUUGCCGAAUUGUUCCACGCCCUUUCACGGCCACCUUGGAGUCAUCUCCAAAAGACAUAAAUUUGCCCUCCACCUUGGUGAGUUCAUAAAAAAAUUCUCAUUGCCACACAUAUGAUUGCUUGCUCCAGUAUCUAGAUACCAUAUCGAGUUGGUAGAAAUCUCAUUAACCUUCAUCUCUUCAUCAUCUUCUUCCUUAUUUUUAUCUGGUUCAAUAACACUAGAUGCUUUCUCUUCCUUUUCAAGAGUCGUUUUCUUCAGUUCCUCAAGCUCAACCCUCUGUUUAUUCAUAAUUUCAUUAGCUUCAUCCAGAAGCCUCCUCAUCCGUUGAAUCUCUUCAUCUUUUUGUUUGAGUUCCUUUUCCACGUUUGUCGCACCUUUUACCGAGAUCACUUCAUCCACUAUUGAGAUCAAAUUUUCCAUGUCCACUACAUUCCGAGCUCUUUGCGUUCUUCUGCAUCUUCUUCUGCAUCUUCAGUAACGAGAUUUGUCUCCUCCUUUGUCUCAAUCUUGCAAUAGUGUGCAAUAUGACCAAACUUGCCACAAUUUUAGCACUUUUUUGACCAACACUCAUUUGCAUAGUGGCCAUACUUGCCACACUUUAAACACUCCGCCCUUGACUGAUCUCCUCGGCCUUUUUCUUGUCCUUGGUCAUGAAAAUUCUGCUGAUCGGUUCUCUCUUCAUUGCCUCUACCACGUCCACCUCGUCCUCUGCCACCAGGACCUCGGCUUUGAGUAAUCCGAGAUUUAUUCGAGUCAAACUGUACCUGUAGUAGUGCUUGAUUGUCGGGUUCAACAUGAUCAUCCCAACUCCUUCUCCUUUGUUUGUGGGCUUCUAAUGACCCAGCAAGUUCAUCCACUGUGAGAAUCGACAAGUCCUUUGAUUCUUCGAUGGCACACACGAUACUUUCAAAAUUUUUUGUAAGAGAUCUCAAAAUUUUUCCCACAACUCGGCUAGAUGGCAUUUGUUCUCCAUUCCUGCCGAGUUGGUUUGCCACCUUCUCCACCCGAGUUAUGUACUCGGUUAUAUGAUCUUUGGACUCCAUCUUCAACUGUUCAAACUCUCCUCUAACAGCUUGUAUUUAGACUUGUCUAACGCGGUUGUCACCUUUAUACACAACCUCAAAUAUCUUCCAGGCUUCCUUUGUUGAUUUAGCAUUCGCUAUUUUUUCGAAUCCCGACUCAUCUACUGCAUGGUAGAGAAAAUAUAAUACUGACCCAUCUCUUGCACGUUUUUUCUUCAAUGUUGCUAUCUGUGCCACCGUUUGAUCUUCGUCCGCAUCAGGUUCAACGUACCCUUCUUCCACCAUAUCCCAAACGUCUUGGGAUCUCAAUAACGCCUUCAUCUGUAGGCACCAAUUAUCAUAAUUGGUUUUUCUCAUCAAUUGUGGCACACUCAUACCAUUGACAACCUUUGCCAUCUUUCACAAAAAAAAUCAAGCACUUACUUUUUCUCUCACGGUGUUUGACUCUCUCCCCUCUCUUUUUCUUUCUCUCGGUACUCAGAGCAUAAAGCUCUUAUAUCAUUGGGAAAAUCUCACUAUACACACUCAGAUAUUUUUCUAAAAUUGAGUCUUAUUAUUCAUUGAUAAUUGAAAGGCUUUAAAUAGCCAUGAUACUUACAAUAUUAUGGAAAUAAAAAUAAGGGUUAAAUAUGUUUUUAGUCCCUAUACUUUGGGGCGGUUUUGGUUUUAGUCCAUCUUUCAAACUAAGGUACAAGUUAGUCCUUCAACUUUAGAAAACUCUGGUUUUAGUCUUUUUUACCAAUUUUUUUAACUUUAUUUGUUAUUUCAAACGCGUUUCUCAGUUAACAUUGAAGCAAAAAUGUGUCAAACAGUAUAAACAAGCCAAAUGCUAUAAUGAAACGUGCUUGAAACAGCGAAUAAAGUUAAAAAAAUUUGGUAAAAAGGACUAAAACCAAGAUUUUCUAAAGUUGAAGGACUAAAUUGUACCUUAGUUUGAAAGAGGGACUAAAACCAAAAUCGCUCCAAAGUAUAGGGACUAAAAACAUAUUUAACCCUAAAAAUAAACUUUGAAAAUAAAAUAUCAACCGACUUAUAAAUAAAAUCCGCUUAUUCUAUUAUAAAAUAAUAUUCUACUUAGAUAAAUAGAAAAUCAUAACUACCCAUCCUAAUUUUAUCUCUACCAAAUCAAACUAAACAUUAUUAAACCUAAAACUAAUAAAAUAAUAAAUUUCUAAAAUUUAAGUUUAUCCUACGUUGUGAAAAUUUCAAUUUCAUAUAAUAAUUAACAAAAGAGUAAACUCAAACUUAUCGAAGCUAUCCAGAGUUAAAAAAAUUUGUAGUCACCCGAGGACUAGGUUUUCUCUUCCAGCUGAGAUAAAAAAAAACACUAUUUUCUUGUCUCUCAAUGAUAAAAGCCCUCGCCCCGCAGAAAUAUAUCUAGAAACUCAUUGAUUUCUAGUCGUCCAGCACCAUAGAACCUCGCUUAUCAAUAAAACGAAGACAGAACCUACAUCAGAUUUAUCUGACUUUUCAUAGCCCUUAGACAAAAACUAUUAUUUUUCACUUCUCAAUAUUAUAGCAUAUAACUUGAUUCCCAGCAUUCAACUAAUCCCAAUUUUGUUCUUUGCAGCAAACCGGAAAUGUUCCAAAUAAUAACUCCUCCCCAUAAAAAAAUACACUAAAAAUUUAGAAUCGUUUUCCCUUUAUUUGCAAUCGACAUAAUAAUUAUACCAAAGCUAGAAAUGCCAAGCCAUCAAAAAAUCUUUAACCUUAAAUAACUACACUUUUCUUUUCAUUAUUUUUAUUAAUAUAAAACUUCUAUACUUAAUGCCCAUAAAGAAUGUACUCCCUGUUACGAAAAGCAAGGAUGGACAAAAAAUACCCCACUUUCAAAUUUCAUGUAAUAUGGUACAAUAAACUACUGUUACGUAUCUUAAUUCAUAAAAUCCUAAAUUUCAAUUCACUUUCCAAUUUCAUUUUACCUAUCUUACAAGGGACUCUACUUGCACCCCAAUUCACCUAAUUAAUUUUCCCAUUUCACUUCUAAUUUUUAAAAGCCUAAUUUUUAACCCACGAAAAUUGAAAUUCAAGUUCACCCAAAUUCCUAUUUAUUUCAUCCUCCAUUCAAUUUCUUAUUUACCUAUAUAACUUCUUUCCAAAACAAAUGAUACAUAAUUAUAUUAAUCAUAAAUUCAUUCCUCUAAAAAAAACAUCACUAAAAUAGAAAAAAUUUCACCAAAAACUGCAUUACAUUACUCCCCCACAUAUUCAUCCAUUGAGAUUUAAAGUGGACCCAAGCUUUUAUUUUCUUAGACCAUAUGGAGUACGUUUCUUUUGAGUCAUGUAAGUACGAAGGUUACUCCUUACACCACUUCAUAUUAUUACUUGCACCACCAUAUAUUUUAUUAAAAUUUCAAAAUUAUCCUUAAUAUUUAAAAAAUCCUACAUUCUGCUUCUUUUCUUCAACGGAUUGAGGAAAAAAUUAUUCAAUAAAUGUGUUACAUCUGAUCAAGAUAUAUGCUUUUCUUUUAAUUUUUAGUUUAUUAAUUUAUUACAUGUUAAAUUAGUAUAUAAAUAUUACUUAAUUUAAUUACUAUUAUUAAAUAUUAUUUUUAAUUAUUAAAUAUUAUUUUUAAUUAUUAAUUAAUUUAUAAAGUAUUUAAUUUUUUUAUAAUAUAUUAUGUAAUUAUAUAUUAAUUAAUUUUAUUUUAUUUAAUGAAAUAAAUAUUAUUAAUUUAAUUAAAUUAUAUUAUUUUUUAAUUAAUUAUAUUAAAAGGAUAUGUCACAUCCGUUAAUGACGGAUGUGUCCGUUUUUUUUUAGUUUAUUAAAAUAUUAUAUUUUAAAUUAAUUUAUAAAGUAUUUAAUUUUUUUCAUUUUUUAUAAUAUAUUAUGUAAUUAUAUAUAAAUUAAUUUUGUUUUAUUUAAUGAAAUAAUUAUUAUUAAUUUAAUUAAAUUGAUUUUUUUAAUUGUAUUUAAAUAAUAAUAAUUAUUUCAUUAAAUAAAAUAAAUUAAUUUAUAUAUAAUUACAAAACAAAUUUAAAAUAUAAUAAAUUAAUAAAUUAAAAACUUAAAAAGAAAAAAAAAACAUAAACCUCGAACAGAUAAUUUUGAAAUAUUCUAAAAAUGUGACGGUGCAGGAACAAUGUGAGAUGGUGUAGAGAGUAAUUUCAUAUAAGUAUUCAAGGUUUUUUUUUUUGGUUUUGUAUUUGGGCUUGGGGUAUUAGUAAAGGAUUUUAGACCUAGGAUGAUGAGCUUAACUUUCUAAUUAUUGUUUUCAUUUGCACUUAGUUGUUAGUCUUUUCAAUUCUUUGAGAUUGCAUAUUCAACAACGAUCUUUAAAUCAGAUCAUAACCAUUCCACAUAUUUGCUUAAACUAAAAUCAUGAAUUGAAAUGAAUGAGUGCACUUUCUAAAACAAUAAUUGGAAAUUCAACACUUCCCAAAACUGGAACACUGCCAAAGUGUUUAGGCUAAGUCACUUUCUCUAAGUUGUUUUGGUUUAGGAAAAAGUCUCUUUAACAACUCUUUUUUGACAACUUUUUGACAACGCAUACGUGGUAGCUUAUGAUUGGUUUGUUUCAAAUAUUUUUUUAAAAUAAAUUCAAACAUACAAAUGAAAUGGUAACACGUGUCCGGUUGUCAAAAAAGUUAUUAAAAAGUGUUGUUAAAAUAUCAUGAUCCUUUGGUUUAAGUUAGCAACAAUAUCUCUCAACUCUAGUAGGCUCGCUCUCUCGGUUUAACUGUUUGGUUGGCGGCAACUGCUCAACUCUCUCAAUUCUGAUAUAGUUUGUGUUUGCUCUCAAACAGCCUUGAUUCUCACAGGUUUGCACUACUUAGUUUCUCUCUUUUCUUAGCUUAAACUCCUCACUUAAGGCUAAUAAAAGGCUGCUGAAACAAUUUCUCUAUUGUAACAACGCUGGUUAGAGAGCUCUUGCAAGUCUCCACCUCUUAAGCGGCUACCCCAAGCUAUGAUACAAUCACCAAAAUUGAUCAUAAACAGUGUCACAAUCUAAGAGUUGAUAAUGGCUUAUUAAGAAAUUCACUAAAAACAAAUAGUAAAGUUGAACGUAUAGUUUGGACAAAAACUACAGUCACUCAUGACAUUGCAUGCAACAAAAGCUAAUCAAUAAUGAAUAGCACUCAAAUGGAAUCCUAGAGAAUAGGUCUAGAUUAAGAUGAAUAAAAUCAAAAUCAAGAAUGACUUCUAGAAUCGAUUCAUAAAGUAAUGACAAUUUGAUUUUUGUUGGUGAGUAUACUGCACAUAUUUCAGAAACAAGAAUACAGAUUCAAGGCAGUACAUAUAAUGCAACAAACUUGUUACCAUUCAAUAACAUAUUGUGAAUUGCAUGUGAUAUUUCCUUCAUCAUUUUACUAUUUUCGAGUUCUAGCCAAAUUAUAGUGAAUUAUGUCUUUUCUUUUCAAUUGACUGAAUUAAUUAAUUUUGUAUUUAACACAAGUUUUGCUACAAUACACGAUCAAUUAGUGAAAGGAUUUUAUAUCAUCAAACCAUUCAUGAAUGCAGUAAUGAUUUUGACUUCAUUAAUGCUCAAGAAUACUGUCUCUUUCGGUUAAUGCAGCUAUAUGGACUAAAAAAAUGAUCAAACAAAUUUCAAAUCUUAUACCAAAAGUUUCAAUUACUUCAUAUUGUGGCUAUCAACCACACUUAUACGAAGAAAUAGAAGCAAUAAACUGAAUAUUGGAAAACAGAUAAGGUAGACUUAAUGAAUCAAAAGGCAGAAUUCAACAUUUGAUCUAAUUAUGAAGUAUGAAUGACAUUCUAAUAAACUUCAAAGAAAUACCAGUUUGGUGUAGCUGGCUAAAAGACAAUUUUUUUGUUUAACAAUGUCCAACCAAGCUAGGCUAAAACUUUCAUUGCUCACUUACAAAACUCAAAUUCAAAUGUUCUAGACUUCAAUUAAACAAAAUUAAAACUCUAUCAUAUGUUUCUACUUUAAUGAUUUGUACAAAUAUAAAGAACAAUGUAUACAAGCAUCGAAACACUUUUUUGUAUAUGCAUUAAAUAUUUUGAACAUUUCAUUAAAUUUUAUAACCUGUCAUUUCAUUAAUAAAUGCAUCGUUUGGUAAACCAUAUAUAUAUAUAUAUAUAUAUAUAUAUAUAUAUAUAUAUAUAUAUAUAUAUAUAUAUAUUCAUCACAUGGGAUAAAACAUUAGAUGCUUUAUCAAAAGUUAUUCGUAAGUAUAACACUUAGUGGUGAUGUGUUAGAUAGUAUAUUCCGUAAAACGCUUUGCUUGAAUUAACAGUCUAUUGAAUAAGACAAUAUUUUAGGCUUUAGUGUUAUCAUGAGAUAGACAUUUCUUGUUCAUAAAAUGCUAGUUUGUUUACUCAUAUCGUCUAUUAAAUGAUUUAUUUGAAAAAUAUUUUCUUUCCUUAGACAUUGUUAAUAAACUUUGUUCAUGAGAUAGUUCAGUAUAGAAAAUGUUAGCAUAAGCUUGAUUUUGUCUAUAAUAAAUGUUUGCAAAAUAUUUUUCUCUUAGAUGCUAUUUCUUUUUCAUGAAUAAUAAUAUUUCGUUUAAUACUAUUAUUAAACUUCAAAACCUACAUAGACGGUCUAAUCUCUAAACGAUCUUGUCUUAACAUUGACCUCAAGUUUGAACCUAAAUUAAGAUGGAUAAAUUGUCCAUGAAUCAACCAAACAUACGUAAUACCUACUUUGGACUUAUUAGAGAAUUUUGAAGAUAAACAAAUUUGUUGGACCAUAAAUUGAGCUUAAAGCUUGACGAAGAUUUGGAGAACAUAUUGGACCACUAACAAGAGUCAUGGUAAAGAGGAUGCAAGAGGAAGAUAGAGCUUCAAGGACUCUACUUUUGUGAAGGAUCAAUUACUAGUCUCUUCUUCUCUCUUAAAAACUUUUGUAAAUAUGUAACAUAGCUUCAUUUUGGGCUUUGUAUUUGGCCAAAGAACCUUGUUUAGUGUAGUUUAGGACUUUGGCACAAUUAAGAGGUAAUUAGCACCUCAUUUAGGACUUACUAGCUUAAUUAGUGUAACUUUUGGGCUUAAAUGUGCCUUGAUGGAGCUUGGACUUGGUUGGAAGAAGCCUUAACCGAUCAACAUUAAUAGGAGGCUCAUGCAAUGUAUUUAGACAGUUAUUUGAGAAUGAAGACUCUCAUUCUCUCCCCCUUGCCAAGUGAAGCUUCUAAACUCUUUUAGGAUUCAAUGUACUCUAGCUCUCUCCUUUAUUUAUAAAAGGAUAGACAUCCCUCUUGAAAUUUUGAGAACUUUAAUGAAUGUAGAAAACUUUGCCAAAUUUGCAAGUCUCGAUCUUCUUGGUUCUCAUUGAAGUUGUUUUCUAUUCUAGAUUUCUUUUUUCUUUUCCUUCAAGGUUGGUCCAACAUCUUUCAAGUACCUUCAUCAAACCGCAAACUUCAAGUCACUCUUCAUCUCUUCUACAAUGUUUAUGUUAUGUCAUCUCAUCUUAACAGAGCUUCAUCAACAAGGUUGAAGAAUAAAAACUAUUGAGAGAUUUUUAUUUUAUUAAUAAUAUAUUCUUAUAAUUUAAAUGGUAUUAUAUAUAUUAUAGUUAUUAUAUCUUAAGACUAUAUAUAAACAAGAAGACAAUUCCAUGACUAAAGAAGAAGACAAUUCAUGACUAAGAGAGAAAAUAUUUUGUCUUAAAACACUUUUAACUUCAAAUCAGAUUUCUUUUUCUUUGAUUUCAAGCCUAUAUAUAUAUAUAUAUAUAUAUAUAUAUAUAUAUAUAUAUAUAUAUAUAUAUAUAUAUAUAUAUAUAUAUAUAUAUAUAUAUAUAUAUAUAUAUAUAUAUAUAUAUAUAUAUAUAUAUAUUGUUUUGGAUGGGAGACCCAAGACAAUAUUUUGCUUCCUGAAGGGUCGAUGGUGUGAACCAAAUCAUCUUACGAUAGUGUUUUCGAAGACUUUCACUCUUUACCCGAACGACUACGACCUGCAAGUUAGCACUCCAACGCUCAAGUCAGUAGGGUCACAGUGAUUAUAAAGUAAUAAUGAGUAAAAAUCCAAUACCAUUACCUGGCUGCUUACCCCCAUAUUUAUAGACAUUGAAUCUGGGUUAUGGGCUAUAACCGUCUGUGUGUAGUGGCCCAUAAUCCCGCAAGAUUCGCCCACCAGGCGUAACUACUGUUAACGUGCCCUCGUAUCUCGUCGAAACUUUCGCACUUGCCUCCACUUAUCUUUUCUUAUCUUUCAUUGAAUCCCGAUCACUCUACAUGUGUGCCCGAUCACUCCACAUGUGUGCCCGAUCACUACACAUGUGUGCCCGAUCACACCACCUGAGUGUCCCAUCACUCCACUUGAGUGCCCGAUCACUCUACGUGUGUACCCGACCACGACCACUCCAUUCGGCCUCCCUAUCGUACAUAAGCCCCCCAAGCCCCAAGCGUUGUAAUAAGCGAAGGGGUUUACAAGUUUCGCUUCUCGCGAAUUUAUAAUUUGAAGAGUCAAAUAUUUGGAACCAUACGAUGAGUAUAAGAUCGACGGCUUAGGUUAACUGGUCUUUUCACCGCACCCAAAUUCGAAACGACGCAAGAUUGCCACCGUCAGAUUGCAUCGCUAUAUACGGUUACGAUGCAUCCUCGAAACCGUUUUAUGCGGCUAUAAAUAGAGGGGUGGUCCCUCACCAUUUGUUUGAUCUGUUGCUCCUCUGCUUUCAUCUCCCGACCCAUCUUUCUGUCAGCUCGAUCGGCCUUCUAGGUAAGUCUCUAUCCUCUCAUUCAUCCAAUAGGUCUAGGGGGGAAGGACGGGGGUAUGAUGAUGAUGGGGCAGGCACCUCAUCAUCGUCCGGUUCCUCCUCUGCCACCUCUUCCCGCUCGUCCGGGAACGAAGUGUCCUUUAACUAUGACAAUUCUCGUAUGUGGACCUCUAUAAUUCCUCCGCCCAUAGUACANGGGUAUGAUUGGGCACCACAUGAGGUUAAAAAUUAUAUUCCGUAUUUUAUAUCUACCGCAUCAAUUAGACAUCUGUUAGAAAAAGUAGACAUCUUGACCACCCUUAGGGAUGUAGACGACUAUACCUUUGUGGUUUGCCGGACGAACGAGCGGGCUUGCCAUGGUUGAGAGGGUUACCCGACUGACUUCUUCUAUGUAUAUAUAACUUUGUUUCGUGAUUUAGGAAUUAGGCUUCCCUUUUCGGAGUUUCAGAUGGGAGUUUUGAGGGAACUGAACAUUAGUCCCGCAUAGUUGCACCCGAACGGGUGGGCUGUUAUGCAGGCCUUCAAUGUGCUUUGCACUGGUUUGGUGCUGACUCCUACUCCCAAGUCUUUUCUCUACUUCUUUCGUGCUUUACCUAACCCAAACCGUUCUUGGAUAUCCCUAGUUCCCGUAAAGGAUAAGCAGUUAUUCACCCCCUUCAAUUCCUCGUACAAANAGUUUAAGUCAAACUUUUGUAAGAUAGCCAUCCGAGAGUCAGGUCGGCCAAAGUAUUUUUUUGACGAUGGUCAGCCAAAAUUUCCAUUGUACUGGACUGAGAAUCCUAACCGAGUCGACUCCUGGCCAAAGACGGAUAUGACUUAAGACGAGCUGGAUAUUAUAAGUCAAGUUGACUUAUUACCAAGAAAGACCUCGUCCCGUAAACUUAUUGACCUGAUCGGGACCGAUACUGAUACUUUACGUGCUCGGGUGUUCGGCAAGAUUCUGCACUCUUUCUUUAGCCGAGCGAUGAUUAUUAACUUGUCUAAAUUGCCUUUUGUGUUGCAGACUUUUUCAGCGGGAUGGAGCAGCACGAAGCUUUCGCUCGUCUGAUGGCUCGUAAAAAGAAGUUGGUGAAAGCUGGGGAAGGAACUUCGUCUGCAACGCCCACUGCCGGGUCAGCCGGUGUUACUCCUCCCGUUAUUAUUCCCGAAGUUGCUGAAGAUGUCAAGGUGGUUCAGCCGGAAUUGAAAAAAGCAAAGCAAAAAAGGAAGGCUGCAGAAAAAAACGCCGUCCUCUCCGAAGAGACAAAAAGUGAAGGGUCCUUUGCUGAUCGGCCCUUUAGACCCUCAAGUGCAUGUAGCCAAUCGUCUGCAAUUCAACUUAACUCCCGAAGAACGGGCUCCGUUCAAAGGUAUGACACCAACUGAAUCUUACAAUAUGGCCUAUGAGUUGAUGGCGCGGGCAAGUGUAUGCAUGAACUAUGUGGCCGGGACCACUAAACCAUUAUUGGUGAUCGAAUUGGAAGCUACUACUCAUAAGUUAAAUGAGCUGAAGAAAGACCAUGCUGGCUUGACUACCCGCGUAGAGGAAAUGACGAAAGUUGUUGAGGAUGCCCGAACCAAAGCUAAAACUGCCCUGGAUGCUUCCCAAAAAGAAGUGGCUUCUUUACAGUUGUCUGUUGACACGCUUCAAUCAAAUCUUGAAAAAGCUAAGUCUGUCAAUGNCGAGCUUCUGAAGGAUAAAGAAGUUGCUCUUGCGGAACGGGAUGACUUGCUGAAAGAAAAGGCAGCCCUGGAAGAUCAAGUGUGUCAGGAGCGCGAACUUGGGUUCCAACAAGGAAUAGGGCAAUGCCACUACUUUUUUAAUACCCCGCUCGAGCAUCCUGAAUUUGACAUCAUGAAGAUUUAUGUGAAUGGAGCUCUUAUCGACCUUGGUGGCUUAGUUUCACCUACUGCUGAAGAGUCGCCUCCCGUUCAACCAACUGGUGCACCCGACGCUGCUAAACAACUUUGAUAGGAAUCUUUUCUAUGUACUUAGUAUCUUUUGUAAUGAACUUUGUUAUUUGAUAUGCUGUCUUGACUUUGUACUUGUACUUUGUACUUGACUUUUGCGCUGAUUGUUAGUACCGUUCGCUCAUUAAUAGAAUAGUUGUGCGUUUACGUUUUGUGUGAAGCUUUGGCUUGCGUCGUUGCACUAUAUCAUCUGCUCAUGCCUUACUAUUUAAAUGUCGAUCGCUUUUCCUGCUCCGAUCGGUGGACGCUUAACUUGGAAGUCAAUCAUGUGACUUCCAUUCUGUGAAGUUAAUUAUUUAACCUCAACCCGCUCUUCCCCGCACGUCACCCGAUCGGAAGUCAAUUAUCUGACUUCCACUAUGUGAAGUUAAUUAUCUAACUUCAACNNNNNNNNNNNNNNNNNNNNNNNNNNNNNNNNNNNNNNNNNNNNNNNNNNNNNNNNNNNNNNNNNNNNNNNNNNNNNNNNNNNNNNNNNNNNNNNNNNNNNNNNNNNNNNNNNNNNNNNNNNNNNNNNNNNNNNNNNNNNNNNNNNNNNNNNNNNNNNNNNNNNNNNNNNNNNNNNNNNNNNNNNNNNNNNNNNNNNNNNNNNNNNNNNNNNNNNNNNNNNNNNNNNNNNNNNNNNNNNNNNNNNNNNNNNNNNNNNNNNNNNNNNNNNNNNNNNNNNNNNNNNNNNNNNNNNNNNNNNNNNNNNNNNNNNNNNNNNNNNNNNNNNNNNNNNNNNNNNNNNNNNNNNNNNNNNNNNNNGCAUAUCACCCGAUCGAAAGUCAAUUAUCUGGCUUCCACUAUGUGAAGUUAAUUAUCUAACUUCAACCCGUUCUUCCCUGCAUAUCACCCGAUCGGAAGUCAAUUAUCUGACUUCCACUAUGUGAAUAAGCCCCCUCUUCAGAACAAUAUUAUGGAACGAUUGGCGCAACUGCUUUUAUUCAAAUAAAAUUGCAAGUAACAGAAAAAUUACAUAAUGCUCAACUGAAAUAAAACUUUAAAUGAGAAAUGUUCCAUGUAUUAGGAAGAGCUUUUCCACUUAAGGAUUCUAAUCGGUGUGCCCCAUUAUUUAAAUUCUCCUUUAUUUUGAACGGGCCUUCCCAGUUGGCGGAUAACUUCCCGUGUGUGGGAUCUUUUCUUGCCUCUCGCGUUCGUCGCCAUACCAAGUCUCCUUCUACAAACUAUCUUGGUUUAACCUUGGUAUUAUAUCGCCGAGCGAUUAACUUUUGUGAGCCUCUAGUCGAACGACGACCAUACUUCUCCAUUUGGGAAUGAUGUCAAGAUUACUUCUGAGAUGUUCUUCGUUCUGAUUCAUAUCGUUGACAUGUCUUCUUAACGUAUUCUCGCCUACUUCGACCGGUAACAUCGCGUCCGAACCGUAAGUGAGGUUGAACGGUGACUCCCCUGUUGCGCUAUGUGGUGAGCAUCGAUAUCCCCAAAGUACUUGUUGUAACUCGUCCACCCAGGCUCCUUUAGCAUCUCCCAGCUUUUUCUUUAAUUCUUGGAUGAUAAUCUUGUUCAUAGCUUCGGCUUGACCGGUCGUUUAUGGAUGUUCCACUGAACUCGUUAAAGGUGUGAUUCCCAACUCUUUAUAGAAUGCUACCAACUUCUUAUCAAUGAACUGCCGGCCAUUAUCAGUGAUGAUAUAGUUUGGCAAAUCGAACCUGCAAAUCAAUUUCCAGACGAAUUUUUGCACUUGAGAUGCUGAUAUCUUCGCUAAGGGCUCUGCUUCUACCCAUUUGGUGAAAUUAUCGAUUGCCACUAAGAGGAAUUUCAACUGUGAACGACCGGUCGGGAAUGGUCCCACUAUAUCCAUUCCCCAUUGAGCAAAUGGCCACGGAGAAACUAUACCAAACAGGGCACUAGCUGGUGUGUGAAUUAUGUUCUCGUGCUUCUGACAGGGCAAACAUUUAGCCACAAAGACUUGACAAUCUUUUUCCAUUGUAGGCCAGUAAAAUCCCGCCCUUAAGGCUCGGGCUCUAAGUGACCGUCUGCCACCAUGUCUGCCGCAUAUCCCUUCAUGUAGCUCUCUCAUAACAUAUUCUGAUUCGUCCUUGGAUAAACACUUUAACAUAGGUGUGACAUAUCCUCUUCGGUACAGCUCGUCUCCCACUAUAACAUAUCUUGCGAUUUGCUUAGCUUCCUCUGAACGAAGGACUGUCCCUUCUUCUUUCCUUUUGAUUAGCAGCACAAUUUCUCUCCUCUAGUCGUCCCGUUCGGCUAUAUAAUAGAUAUGUAGACAAUCAACUGCGGGCUUGAAGACUAUCUGGCGAACUAGAGAAGAUAGCUAACCUUUUUCUUUCCCGGUUGAUAGCUUGGAAAGUCUGUCAGCUCUUUGAUUCUCAUUCCAUGGUAUAUGCUUCACCUCUAUGGAAUCGAAAUGAGAAAAAAGCUGUUUGGCUUUGUGGAAAUACUUAAGCAGUUGAUCGUCUUUAAUCUGGAAUGUCCUGUUCAUGUGUCCUUCUACCAGCUGAGAAUCAGUUUUGCAACAAAGAACCUUAACUCCUAAGUCUCGCGCCAAUUCCAACCCGGCUAUUAAGGCUUCGUACUCAGCCUGAUUAUUACUAGCUUUAAACCAGAAAAUCAGGGCCUGUUCAAUGGCAAUGUCGUCCGGUCCUUCUAAGACUAUUCCUGCUCCUCCCUCCUGAUGACCGGAUGACCCGUCUACAUAUAACACCCAUGAACGGCAAUUUGAUGUCAUCCCUGGUAGCUCGGCCACAAAAUCGGCUAGAUGUUGCCCCUUAACCAAUCCUCUCGGUUCAUAUUUUAAUCUGAAUUCGGAGAGUUCAAUAGACCAACCGAUCAUCCUGCCUACCAGGUCAGGUUUGCGUAAAAUCUUAGAAAUAGGAUAAUCUGUACGAACGAUUACCUGGUUUCCUUGUAGGUACGGUCGAAGUCUUCGGGUGGCGAUCACUAGGGCGAGGACUAUCUUUUCGAGUUGUUGAUACCGGGUUUCUGGCUCUUUCAAAACUCUGCUAAUGAAGUAUAUGGGGCAAAAUUCAGGGGUUUCCUGGACUAAUGUUGCGCUGACCGCCUCCUCACCAACUGCCAAAAAUAAAUGUAAGUCGCAGCCGUAGUCAGGGUGCCUCAUAACCGGAGGGUUAGUAAGAAUUUGCUUGACUUCUCUGAAUGGUGCUUCACACCGUUUGUUCCAUUCUCCUUGUGCUUGCUUUUUCAUUACCUUUAGGAUGGGUUGAAUACGUUCGGCCAACUUGGGUAUGAACCUAGAUAAGGACGUUAGUUUUCCCACUAACCUUUGUACUUCCUUCAAGCUGUUUGGACUCCUCAUCUCUAGAAUGGCUCGGCACUUAUCUGGGUUUGCCUCUAUGCCUCGUGAAGUUAACAUAAAUCCCAAAAACUUUCCUGGAGAUACUCCGAACGUACACUUAAGAGGGUUUAACCUCAUCCCGAACUUCCGUACUUGAUUGAGAACUUCUUCCAGGUCUCGCAAAUGUUCCUCCACCGAUCGGCUUCUCACCACCAUAUCAUCCACAUACACCUCCAUGCACUUUCCUAUCUGAUUCUGGAAAACCUUAUCCAUCAGCCUCUGAUAAGUUGCUCCCGCGUUCUUCAGACCGAACGACAUAACGUCAUAACAGUAAUUGGAUCGUUCUGUAAUGAAGGCUGUUUUUUCUCGAUCCGGUCGAUACAUAGGGAUUUGAUUGUACCCCGAAUAAGCGUCCAAAAAACUCAAGAUCUCAUAUCCUGAAACUCCGUCAACUAGUCCAUCUAUGCUCGGGAGAGGGUAUGUAUCUUUUGGGCAGGCUUUAUUAAGGUCAGUGAAGUCUGUGCACAUUCUCUACUUCCCGUUCAGUUUCUUCACCAUAACCACAUUUGACAACCACGUGGUGUAUUUCACUUCUCGUAUAAAGCCCGCUUCUAACAAUUUCGUUACCUCUUCGUCUACUGCCUUUCUUUUUUCGUUUCCCAACCUCCGCUUCUUCUGUGCGACCGGUCGUGCUUCUUUGAGUAAUGAUAGUUUGUGAGAUAUUAUAUCCGGAUGAAUACCCGGCAUAUCAGCAGUUGUCCAUGCGAACAUAUCUUUGUUUUUCAUCAAAAGAUCUUCCAUUAAUGCCGCCUGAUCAGUGGUGAGAUUGCGUCCUAUGGUGGUACAUUGGUCUGCUUGUUCCCCAAUAACAAAAGGACGCAUAUCUCCCCAGGGCUCCACCCGGUCGUCCAAGUGCGUUCGGGGAUCUAACUCCAUCAUUGCGACCUCCGACCUUUUGUUUUGAAAUACAGCUGCUCUUGGUUUCACUUUCAGACCUGUUGCGUAACACUCUCGAGCCAUUUUCUGAUCCACCCGAACGGUGCACACUUUCCCAUCAUUCGCAGGAUAUUUUAAAGUUAAAUGCGGGGUUGAAACAAUAGCCUCGAACAUAUUCAAACAUGGUCGCCCUAAAAGGACGUUAUAUGAUGUAUCAGCUUCCACCAAUAAAAACCGAACCUUCAUUUCUUUGGCGUUCUUGUCCGUUCCCAAACUAGUUCUUAGGUCGACGUACCCCUUCGUAUCUGCUCUCUCCCUAGCGAACCCUACUAUUUGUUCAUUGAAGGGCAUAAUGACAUCCUCCGAUAUUUCCAUCUGCCUGAACGUCUUCCAAUAUAGUAUAUUAGCGGGGUUUAAAUACCUUUUUAGUCCCCAAGUUAGGGGUUGAAUUUCUGUUUUGUACCCGCUUUUAAAAAUGAAGUUAUUUGGUUCCCAUGUUACGAAUUUUGUAAAAAUUCAAUCCCUUCCGUUAAAUAGGUAGUAACGGCGUUAACUGGCUGCACUUUUCUUCUCUCUCCUCUGCUCUUUUUCCUGACACUUUUUUCUCUCUCUUUUCUAUUUCUCUCAGCAUUAAUUACUUGCAAUUUUUUUCUCUCUCUUCCGUCAUUGACUUUUCCUCUCCCUUUUCAUUUAAUUGCUUUUUCUAUUAAGGUUCAGUAACAAACCUAUAGAGUCCAUGGAGUUAUGUGUUGGGUUUCGCUUCCACCCAACAGAUGAACAACUUGUUGGUUACUACCUAGGUUUUGGUUCCACCUUCAUUGUAGUUUACAAAAUCAUUUAAUUAUUUACAAUUAUUUUUCAUUAAAAUAAUUAUUUAUAAUGAAAAGUUAUUUACAAAAUAAAUAAAAAUAAUUUAUUAUAAACAAUUUACAUUUAUUUUUUUAGUGAUACUAAUAACAAUUUUAUUAUAUUUUGUUAUGAUAAAAAAAAAUAGUAAUUUUAGUAAUAACUUUGAAAUUUUAUACUCUUUUACGUCUGUUCUCUCUUCAACAAAUAACUUCAAAAUCNUUUAAUUUUAAAUUUAAAUAUGCUAAACAAUAUCUUUAGAUAUAAACAAAACAACGUUAAAAUAAAAGUAAAAAUUAAUAUAUAAAAUAAUAAAUUUGAAUGUGUAGGAAGGGAGCACGCGGUUGAAGUGUUGAAGUGCAAUGGAGGUGAGAAGCGUGUUGAAGGCCCUGCAACUACGACCAACCCAUCACCUCCAAACUUGCUCCUCACGGAAAACACCUCCGCGCCUGAUCACCAAUUCACCCCCAAACCUUUAUAUCCAGAAUGCCCUCGUCCUCAUAUGGUCUAAAUUUCAAACAAUUUCAACCUCCUUAGGUUGAGUUUAGUUAGUAGACAACAUGAUGGUAUAGUUGAUUUCCCUCUCACCUCCACUACCCGUGAUACUUCUAUUGCUACGAUUGUCAUUGUCACUGCCAUUUAGUUGUUGCAACUACCAUCAACACCUUUGUUGUUGUGGCACCACUAUCACCUGCACCAUUAUUGUUGAUGUGUAGGGAGAAGAGGAAGACCUUAUGACCCACAUCCUGGAACAUUUCUUCGGAGGAUGAUGACCUGCACAUCCUUGAANAGAUGUGUCAUCCCUUGCAAAGAGAAACAAAAUAACCACGGUCAGAGACACCCCAUUUUAGUUGUUCUAACGUGAAAUGUUUCCUCUUGGAGAAUGCUUAAGAUUUUAAGGAAACUGUUUUGACUUUUUCAUUUUCAGUUAAUGUUUCUUAGUCUGUAAGAUUUUAGAUCCAUUUUACAAAAAGUUUAAGUAAUAAAUGAUAGCUUCAAUUAGCCACACUCACUCAUACAUUCAUCUCAUUUANUUAAAAUGGACUGCUGUGUUUCUUCAUUCUCUCANAUAAACUUUUUAGCUUCAUGUUGUUCCCAAGUUUAAAAAUGACAUGUAAAACCCAAUAAAAUACAAGUACACAUGCUUUUUUCUCUCUCUUCCAUUAAUGUAAUUAAGUUCAGCAAUGUUGAAUUGAAACCUAAGAGGCCAUGCAUGCAGAACUUGGGGAGGCUAUCAAGUGCUGAACCAUGGCCGCCCACACGAACUCCACCCUUUUGACAAUUCUUUACCAGAAAAACAUAAACGGAUUGCAAGUUCACCGGAAAGGUAGUGGGUGAGUGACGAUGCCACAAAUGAAUGGCGGGCCUAUGGUAAACGUGGGAGACCUGGUAAUUAACUCUUGCAAGAAGAGUAAAUAAUGGUAGAAGAGAGAGAAAAAUGUGGAGGUGGUUAAUGGAGGAGAGAAACAGAAAAGUGAGAGAAAAAGUGUCAGAGAAAGAGCAGAGGAGAGAGAAGAAAAGUGCAGUAAAAUUAACGUCGUUACAAGCUACUUAACGGAAGGGACCUAUUAACAUCAAAAUUAGUAACUUGCGGACCAAAUUACAUCAUUUUUAAAAGUGGGUACAAAAUAGAAAUUCAGUCCCCAACUUGGGGACUAAAAAGGUAUUUAAACCUAUUGGCGGAGCUUCCCUGAUCCACCAAAACUUUACCGACCUGGUAUCUGGCAAUCAUAGUAGUUAUAACCAUCGGGUCAUCUUGCUCCAGAUCGGGCGCAUGGAAGUCCUCAUCAUAAAAGGUAAUGGUAGGCAUAGAUCUCUUCAGCGCUCCUGUUCGACUAACAUUGUGUAAAUUUCUUAUGUGCCUUUUUCUAGCAGCUGAUGUUGAACCGCCUCCUGCGAACCCUCCUAAGAUUGUGUUGAUUACUCCUCUGACCGUUCGGUCGGCACUCCUGCUUCUGCUUCGAUCGGUUCUUUGCUGACUCCUCCUUUUGAGAGGGUCUUGUUGUACUGGAGGUCGUCUGGUUCUGCUUGAUGACCCUCUUCUUUGAACAAAUCUCUGAAGGUGUCCAGCCUGGACCAAAGUUUCUAGCUUAUCCUUUAACGUAACACAAUCCUCCGUAGUAUGUCCUCGAUUCUGAUGAUACCGACAGUACUUGUUCUCGUCUGCCCCUAUUGGCGUUGGUAUUUGAACUACGACCAUGAGGUCAACUCUUAGUGCUUCCUCCAAUACCCUCGCUCGGGGUGCAUUCAAGGGAGUGUGGUGGACGUAUUGUUGCAUUCUGCAUGGUCUCUGCUUCUGUGACCACUUCUUCUGUCACUUCUUCCGAAUGACUGUCCGACCCUUUCCCUAACCGUUCGACUCAUCGGUUCGACUUCCUCUCUCCCUCGCUGGUGCGCUCUUCCCUCCUCUAUCCGAAUGAAACUGGCCAGCCUAUUUUGUAAUUCAUCCAUGCUUUGAGGUUCUUCAGCAUGCAAAUAAUCACAGAAUGGACCGGGCCUUAAGGCUGUCGUUAGUGCGCUCACAAUUAAUCGUUGAUCCGCGUUUCGUACCUGCCAAGCAGUACGAUUGAAUCUGUCCAUAAAAAGCUUGAGGGAUUCAUCCCGUCCUUGCCUCAUCCUUACUAAAGCUGUGUACGUCACUCCGGGCGUUUUACUUGAGGCGUAUUGCUGGGUAAAUAAUUGUCUGAGUUCGGCAAAAUUGUCAAUGGUACCCGGUUGUAAGGAAUGAAACCAAUCCAGUGCCUCUUCCUUCAGCGAAAGGAAGAAAACUCUACACCAUACCAGCUCGUCUGACGAAUACACAACCAUGGCAUCUACAAAGGAUCGCAAGUGCUUGACUGGAUCUGACGCCCCUCCAUAUUUUUCCAUCGAGGGCAGCAUUUUAUUUUCUGGUAUGAUCGCCCUCAUUACUCUUGGCGUAAAAGGAUGUAGUCCUUCAGCCUGGGUUUUGCCUUUCUCUUUCAUUCUGUCGCCUUCCAUCAUGGUUAUUGAAUUCUCCUCUGCCGUUACUGUAACAUCCCCUUUUUUAUAUUAUAUCACAAGUGAAAAGUAGUUCCUCGUGUUCUAAGCGGACAUACUUAUAGGAAAAUUCAAUAUAGAUCUUAUACUAAGAAAAUCUUAGUCCUUUACAUCCAAAUGUAAAGCAUUUAUUACAAACUUGUAAAAUCCAACUCAAACAAUUAAAUGAAUUGAAAAUGUUUGAAAGAAAACAAAAUAAAUCUUUCCCAGUUUCUCCCAAUUACUUGUCUCUCUAAUCAUCAACUGGAACAUCUGUAAUAAUGUCUGCUCCCGUAUAACAACACGAGUUACACGAUCAUCGCAUUCACAUACACAAACAAUAAGGGUAAGCUACCAUAUUCAUCACUUAAUAAAACAUCAACAUAACGGUUGGUAAUCAUCAAAGUAAUACUGUAACAUAACACAUUUAAUCAAGUAUCCAUCACAACUCAACCAAUCCAAUAAGACACAUGUUAUUCCUUGAUACUCUACCGUAUGAAACCUGUUCACCAAAACAGGACACCUGUUCACCAAAACAGGACACAUAAACCUGUUCACCAAAACAGUACAACACCUGUUCACCAAAACAGGACAGUCGAACUCUUCUACCGUCUCUUAUAACGAAGAGCAUCAUAUCCGACAUUACAAAGUACACAAGAAAAUACAACAUCCAUGUUAUUGUAAACAAAACAAAAAAAAACUAAUCACACGAACUUGUACUAAAUAAUACAGCCCAAAGUCAUCUUGACACCAUAACCAAACUUUAUCAUCAAUCUAUAAAAAAAAUUUCUACUGCAACAAUCAAUAGAAAUCCAGAAACAAGUUUCUCAAUUUUAAAAACUAAAAUUCUAAAACAAUUGAAAGAGAAGAGCUCCCAAACCGAUUUUAAAACAAAAUAAAUAAUACCUAUAUAAUAUAUAUAUAUAUAUAUAUAUAUAUAUAAUAUUAAAACUCACGGUCUAAUGCAUAAUCCUGUAACAUAUAUAUAAUACAUGAAAUGCACAUAUUAUAUUAUACCCUUCACGGAUUUCUAGAAAAGUUCCUGCAUAUUUAUUUUUAAGACAUGUCAAGACACUUUUACCUGUUUGUUUCUUCAUAUAUGUAUAUAUAAUAUAAUAUUAUAAUGUCCAGUUUAGAUUUCUCUCUCAAAUAAACAACCCAUCAAACCCACUUCUCACUGUAACUUGCCAAUUAUCAGAAGAUCAUGCAACGUCUAUCCUUUUAACCGUUUAUAAAAAAAAAAAAUUAGUUUCCAUUAAAAUCUGUUUCCCUUUUAUACUUUAUUUCACUUUACCUAUUCUCCCUGGAACAUUUACGUGCAUGCAAGGUUUCCCAACCAUAAAACUAAAUGGGUCCUUCACUGAUAUAUACAAUUCCAUAUUAAUCACUGAAUCACCUCUCUGCUCAUUAUCUACAACACACAAACUCACUACGGCCCUUAAACUAAAACCUUCUCCUUGCCAAAUAUUGUUUUCUUCUUGUUCCCUACUGUUAGUAUAGUUCUCGCGACUAUCAUACAAGAGUUUUCUACUGCUCUCAUUCUAAUUUAAAAGAUCAACUCAACCAUGUUUUAUCCUGCAUCGUUUUCAGUUUUCAUCAAAUACAUCUACCCAUUAGUUGUUGUCCUUCACAACUACACUAACUGAUUUAAAAAGUAUAGAAACCUCUCAGUAUAAACUAAACUUCCAGGAAUCCCAACACCCUCAUUCACGCGUCAACCAAAAACAUAAACCCAUCUUUUACUUUAGUCAUAACAUAUAUAUAAACUCAAAUUUCCUGUAUCCUUGUCUGACAUACUACUACCCCUUCUCCCAAAAACUUUCCUUCAUGUGGCCAAAAUACCAGUAAUCCUCACACUACAUGGCUUAUAGUAAUGUAUCUAUCACAUACCUAUUAUUCCUACCAUCUAACUUUCUAACCCCUAUAAUCGUCAUACGACCCAAUGCCAUAAUAUCAGCUUUAAAGAUACAUUAACCAGUGACCAUAGAACCAUAAUACAGAGAUAAUUACGAAACACAAAAGAACACAAUUAUGAACAUUACCACCUCAUUGGUGCAACUACAUACAACCCAAAAAUAUCAUACUAUAAUCACAUGCAUCAUGUUCAAUCAAUACAUCAAGAAAUUAGCUUCCCUUACCUUAGAUAAAUCCUAGCUUUCUUUCUUGACCCAAGAUUGAGAAUCCAAAACUUUCACCUCCUUCACGUUAACGUUCUUGCUUCCAAGAAAACUCCAAAAUACUCUUUUGAUUUUACUAUCUCCUAGUGCACACACUACUUUAUCCUCUUUCCGUUAAACUCUGCCUUCUCCUCAUUUUUCCAGAGCCCCUCCCUUAAAUAAACCACCCAAUCCACUAACCCCUAUCUGUUGCCUUUCUUUUCGGGAAAGUGGUUCCAAAACUCACCUUAGAUAUUUUAUAUAUGUUGUUACCCAAAUUUUAAUAUAAGCUAAGUGACCCCACAAUAAAUAUUUAAAAUAUAACAGCCAAACAAACAAAACAUAUAUGAAAAUACAGGCCACACUAUAUACAUUAAACAGUAAAUUAAUAAAACAAAUAAUUUAUUUAUUUAUUCAGCAAAAUUAGAGCACAAAAAAAAAAUCAUUAACUCCACAAGGAGCUAUCACUAAUGGGCUACAGACAUGAAUUUCCACUAAUCUUAAAGGUAGACCAAGAUACAGUUUUAUAAUUAAGCUCUACAAUUUUUAGGGUCUUACAGUUACCUCUUCCACCCCCUCGGCCUCCUCCCCUACUCCCGCCCCUACUUCCCCGUCUUCCUUCGCCUCUGCCUACUCCUUGACCGUUUAUUCCUCCUACUCCCGCACUUGGUCCAGCACUGUGAUUCUCCUGCCUUCUCUCGCCCUGGGUAGGCUGUUGCUCUCCACUAUCCGAGUUAACAGUCUCGACAUUUACCGAUUGGUCGGAGUGGCCUCCUACCCUAUUCGCCUGCUCCGCCCUAAGUGCUGCCAUCUCUGCUCGCAUUUCUUGCAUAUGUCGUUGCAAGUCUUGCAACAGCUACAAAGGAACUUCUCAUGCCAUCGUGGUCGUAUUUAGGUUGCAAUAAGAAUCUCGGGCCCCACAGUGGGCGCCAAAAUGUUUUGGAUGGGAGACCCAAGACAAUAUUUUGCUUCCUGAAGGGCCGAUGGCGUGAACCAAAUCACCUUACGAUAGUGUUUUCGAAGACUUUCACUCUUUACCUGAACGACUGCGACCUGCAAGUUAGCACUCCAACGCUCAAGUCAGCAGGGUCGCAGUGAUUAUAAAGUAAAUGAGUAAAAAUCCAAUACCAUUACCUGGCUGCUUACCCCCAUAUUUAUAGACAUUGAAUCUGGGUUAUGGGCUAUAACCGUCUAUGUGUAGUGGCCCAUAAUCCCACAAGAUUCGCCCACCAGGUGUAACUGCCGUUAACGUGCCCCCGUAUCUCGCCGAAACUUUCACACUUGCCUCCACUUAUCUUUUCUUUUCUUUCAUUGAAUCCCGAUCACUCCACAUGUGUGCCCGAUCACUCCACAUGUGUGUUCGAUCACUACACAUGUGUGCCCGAUCACUACACAUGUAUGCCCGAUCAUACCACCUGAGUGCCCGAUCACUCCACCUGAGUGCCCGAUCACUCUACGUGUGUACCCAACCGCGGCCACUCCAUUCGACCUCCCUAUUGUAUAUAUAUAUAUAUAUAUAUAUAUAUAUUCUAAGUUGAAAUAUGAAAUUUUAUACUUAAUGACAAUACAAGUGAUAAUCUCUAGAGUUGUCAAUAUUUAUAUUUCACAAUAAUAUUAUUGGAAAGUUGAAUAGAAUAUUUUCUACCAUCAGAGAUAUGUUAAAUAAUAUUUGAAUUAAUUUAAAAGUAUAUGAAAUUAUUGUUAAUCGCUAACAAAUAGGGAGCCAGUGCAAAGGGACCGGAGUAAUGCAGAUAAGCUAUUAUUUAAAAAAUGAAAAAGAAACUGAGGUCAUAAGUUUGACAAAAAAAUAAAAUAAAAAAAAACACUUUUUAUUGUCUCGGUUGCAUUUAAACGGAAGCAAAAACAUACAUCUUUUUUUUCGGUUCAGAAUCGAUAAAAAAAAUCUACCACUUUUUGCCUCGUCUACAUGUACUUCGAUUACAGAAUCACUACAAAAAGACAAAAACAACCGAUCCCGUUUCCCUGUACUAGUGUUUACGAGGGAAGGCAACAUUGGAUUCUUGCAUGCAUGCUAGUAGACAACCACAGCCAACCCCAAACUUCGCACUUGUUUGCCUCUAACGCGCACAACACACCAACUCUCUGCACCACACCUUCGUGGCGUAACAAAAUCUAUUUCCUCCUUCCCCAAAUAUACCUCCACGCAUUGCUGUUUACCACUUCUUUUCAUCUUACAAUAUAAUUUUCACUCUAUCCCUAACCUACUCUGUUUCAAGUUUAAUUGCAUUUUUUUUUAAAUUAUACGUUAUCUUUUAAUAUAUUUCUCAAUUUUCAUAUUAAAUUAUAUUAUAGAUGGGCUAAAAGUUUGAUGAUCAUCAUGACUUAACGUAUUAACUGAAGCCAAACUCUUACAAUUUUAAGAAUCAUGACAUGUUAAAAAUAUUUUUUAAUAAUUUUUUGACAUUUGUAUUACUGUUUUAUUGGUAUGUAUAUUUAAAAUGGAUAAAUUAUCACAAGUAGUUAUAGAAAAGAUUGUAAAAACAUUAUUAAAAAAACUUUCGAACUUUAAAAACCAAAUAAAAGAUUAAAUUCGUCACUUUCAAAAAUGUAUACUGAAAUUUAAAACAUGGAAAAGAAAUUAUCCCAAUUAUAUUUAAGGGUGAAAAUAAAAUUAAACUAAAAUAUUAAAAUGAAAAUUAAAUUCUCAUACUUAUAUAAGUUGUAAGAAAAGUAAUAUUAUUCUUCUCAUUUAUUUGUCAGUAUUUAUGCGCUGGACUUUAACUUUUUUUUGAUAUAUGAAACAGUGGAGGGCAGAAUGAAACCUGUUGAUCAUGCAAAACCUCUACGCACCAUGUAUCAUGUACGUGUCAAGAAAAGCAGCCCUCACUUCUCACUAUAAGACCACCCUCUGACACUGUCUCUCUCUCUCUCUCUCUCAGUAACGCGAAUACACAAGUCCUAAUCUUUCUCUAGAAAGACUUAUUAUUCCUGAUCUUUUGCAUCUUCUUCAUUGUUACUCAAAACUUCAACUUCCAUCAUGAGUGAUCGCACACAAGCACCCCACCAUGUCCAGGUGCACACCACAACCCAACACUACGAAGCUGGUGUCGUUCCUGCACCUCGAUAUGAGCGUGCUGUUUUCCCCCCACAGUUUUAUGAAUCUGGAGGUAAGACUAGAUCUUACCCUGCCGAGAGAGUUCCCUCCGCCACCCAGAUCCUCUCUGUUGUCGUCGGCCUUCCGGUCGGCGGCCUCCUCCUUCUUCUGGCCGGACUUACUCUGGCAGGAACUCUAACUGGGCUGGCAGUGGCCAUCCCGCUUUUCAUUCUGUUCAGCCCAGUUCUGGUUCCAGCUACCGUGGUAAUCGGGCUGGCAGUGGCGGGGUUUCUGACGGCCGGAGCUUUUGAGCUGACGGCUGUGUCGUCGUUCUCGUGGAUCUUGAAUUACAUCCGGGAGAGCCAGGGGCCAGUGCCGGUGAACCUGGCGGUAGCGGCGAAGCAUCAGCUGGCGGAUGCUGCAGAAUACGUGGGGCAGAAGACAAAGGAAAUGGGGCAGAAGACAAAGGAAGUUGGGCAGGAUAUACAGAACAAGGCUCAGGAUGCAAAGGAAAAGAGUCUGAAGGAAGCAAAAGAUGCAAAGGAGAUGAAGAGAACAACCGUAACAGCAACAGCCGCAACAGACUGAGUAUUGUGAUAUGAUGCGGUUUAUGUCGGGAAAUAAUAAUGUACCUCUUGGUUUGCACUUGUGAGUGCUGUGUCUUUAGUUAUUGUAUGUAGGUCUGUGUUUUGUUGUCUGGCUUGGUUUGUAGUUUUUGUUGUCUAGCUUGGUUUGUAGAGGGAUGUACUUUGGUUCAUGCCAUAUAAAGGGGUACUACUAGUUACCACUCUGCUGUAUAUGGAUGCUGGAAAUGUGUUCUGUAGUUCUUCACUUUCACUGUUGAGUUCAAUGUGAAAUUUGUUUUGCCUUCGUUUUUGUAAUCACUUUCUUUCUUCUAGAACAACCAUAAUUUUAAACAGAUUUGUUAAUUUUUUAGCAUAAUAAAAAUCAAAGCACCAAGAGAUUUAACCUUAGAAAGUUUUCUUAACAGCAUGGC
rnacentral:lncRNA from 1 species